UGUUUUGAGGGUUUUCGCUGGUGGCUUCAGGAAGCCCACGCGGCCACGAUUUUGGCCAAAGCUAGGAUGACGGCAGUGAAGGUUGAAGAACUGAUGGUAUAGUCAAUGGUGGGACAGAAAUAAUGGUGGGCGGUUGGAAACGCAGCAACAGACGUGAUACCAACUUUGCCUCUCCCUAGCUCUCGUAUACAAACCAAAUACUAGGGUAGAUGACUCCAAUUGGUUGAUUAGUGUGAGAGAGACAAUGGAUUUGAUUUUAGGUAAUGAGCAAAGAAAUCAGAUGAUAGAAAUUAUGGAUUUCAAAGAGGGAAGAAAUUUAGGGAUUUCCCUUUUAAGAAAGCGAAGAAAUCAGAUCGGCGAGAGUGGGGCCGGGGGGGUUAAAUGGAUGAGAAAAAUUAUGGAUUUCAAAUGAAUGAGAAAUCUGAUGGUAUAAAAUGUUUAUUAAUAUAUACUUGAGAACCAACAUCUCAAGUUCAAUCGAACGGUUUGAUUUCAAUUUUCAAUAUGGUGUCCGGGCUUAGUGCCGGGCAUUGUAGCUUUAACCCUUAUACAACUGUUAAUAUAUAAGAACUUGUAUUGGUGAAUUUACAGACAUAAUAAAUUAGGUGUAAAAUCUAUAAUGUACUUAUCGUAAACGACAACUUUAUGGAGCAAUAAUCCUAGUUUUCUUUUCUAAUUUUAUGAGCAAGUAAAACUCGUUAUAUUUUGCUUCAUUAAAAAAGAAUAGUAAAUGGCUUGCCUAGCUUUGAGCAAAGUAUUUAGAUCAUUUGAUAUGUAAUAGGUGCCAUUUCUCAAUCUACCAGCUUUGAUAUUGACAAAAUGCAGUACACGCAUAAGCUGAUUAUAGUAAACAAUUUGGCAAGAGUUCUCUAUAGAAAAUUAAUGGGGACAAAUGACCUUAGAAAUUGAAUAAGAUGCUGCAAAUUGACCAAGUGACAAAUCCGUUCCCAUCCGAACCAUAGCUAAUUUAGAAUGAAUAUUUGAAAAUAAGAGAAGGCAAGACACAUGUGGGCACAGCAACCGAGGAAAGCAGACCUAGCGUUGGCAUGAAUUAAAAGUUAGAUAAUACUCUUACACACUAUUUUUGAAGGCAUUCAUGGCAAAGAUUAUAAUUCACUACCAGUGAAAGAAAAGAAAAUCAAUUUGAUUGUCUCAUACGUCUAGCUCUUCAACAUUUUAAAGCAACGAGCAUCUAAAUUUUAAGAAACCCAUUACAAUUUCCUUUGCAUUGAUUCUCUGCUUUGGUGAGUCUACAAUACACUCUAUAGCUAAAUUGAAGACAAAUGACACACGUUACUCUUUGGUCAUAAAAUGUUUGUCUUCCCAAGCUAGUAGAUUUGCAUCAACAAUUGUCGUAACUGAAAUGAGUAGCGAAUCAUUAACCCAAUACUUUAAUCUCAUUUUCUUCUGAAAAAAUUUCAUCUGUGACUUUAGUGUAAUAUAUGUUCUUUUCUAAUUUUAAGAAUAUCAUUUUAAAAGGAAUUGUAAAUAGCUUCCCUAGUUUGAGCAAAGUAUUUAGGUCAUCUGACAUAUAAUAAGGUCCAUUUCUCAACCUGCCAGCUUUGGUUUUCAUAAAAUGCGAUAUACACAUAAAGUAAUGGGUAUAAAACUAAAUGCACUGAAAUUUUCAAUCCUUCUAAAUCCUACAAAAUAUUCAUAAUUUUCCACACAUGAAGCAAAAGAACAAUAAUUAAAUCACACUGACCUGAUUAUACCAAAUGAAAGUCCAAAUUUUCCCUAUAGAAAAAAUAUAAAUAUAAUUAAACCUAAACAAAUGGCAAAAAUCUCCAUGGAAACUUGAAGGGACUCAAAUUGCACAAUAACAAAUCACCUUAGAAAUUGAAUAAAAUGCAGCAAACUAACCAAGUGUCAAAUCCGCUCCCUUCCGAAUCAUAGCUAAUUGAGAAUGAAUAUUUGAAAGUGAGAGAAGGCAGGAUCACAUGCGGGCACAGCAACCAAGGAAAGCAGACCUAGCAUUGGCACGAAUUAAAAGUUAGACAAUACCCAUACACAAUUAUUGGAGGUAUUCAUUGCAAAGAUUACAAAUCAUUACCGGUGAAAGAAAAGAAAAUCAAUUUGAGUGUCACAUGCGUCUACCGCUUAACAUUUUUAAGCAAUGAGUCUCUAAUUUUUAAGAGUCUUGUUACAAUUUCUUUUGCAUUGAUUCUCUGCUCUGGUGAUUCUACAGUACACUUCAUAGCCAAAUUGAAGAUAAAUGACACGCAUUGCCCUUUGGUCGUAAAAUGUUCGUCCUUCUGACUUAACAGAUUUGCAUCAACAAUUUCCAUAACUGAAAUGGGUAGUAAGUCAUUAACCCAAUGCUUUAAUGUCAUAUCUCCAAAAAAGAUUUCAUCUGUGGGUUUCUUUCGGGUAAAUGUUUCCAUUAACAUAAUCCCAAAACUAUAAACAUCCCCAUUUGUGGAUACUUGUCCUUCUCUUCCAUACUCUAUGGAUUGCAACAAUUACACAGUAAGAUAAUAUAAUUUAUAAUAUUAUGCGUAAAUGAAGAUCAAAACAAAUAAAUAACAUAUCAGAAAUUAUUAAAGAAAUAAAAAAAUAUUUAUUAUGUAACAAACCUGGUGCCAUAUAGCCUAUGGUGGCAAGUGUUUGUGUUUGAGUCAAAGAUUGAUCUUCUUUGAGUAAGGGCUUUGCCAUGCCAAAAUCACUCAAAUGAGCAACCAUAUUAUCAUCUAACAAUACAUUGCUGGGCUUUAAGUCACAGUGAAUUAUUGGCACUGAAUAACCAAAGUGCAGAUAUUCCAAAGCUGAUGCAACAUCUAUCAUUAUGUUCAAUCUUUGAAAAAUAUCCAAAAUGUAGUUGCUCGAAUACAAACACUUCUCCAGACUUCCAUGAGGCAUGUAUUCUAAUACCAAUGCUUUAAAAUCAUCACUUGAACAACUGCUAAUGAUUUUUAUAAUGUUUCGAUGGCGAAUACGUUUUAUCAUGUCACAUUCAAUAUCAAAACUCUUAAAUGCUCUUCCAUAUUGUAGGUCAAAAACCUUUACUGCAACCUCCAUCCCAUCCUGAAUUCUUGCCUUGUAAACAGAGCCAAAACCUCCUCUGCCGAUUAGAUUGUUUUCACUAAAUCCGUUUGUAGCUUGAAAAAUUUCUAGGUAUGUAAACCUUCUCUGAUUUGAUAUUCGUGGCAUAUUAGCAUCAUUUGGCAGUGGUUUCCCUCUCUUUCGAUAUCUUAAUAUAAACAAAAUCACUGCCAUCAUAAAUAUAGUACUCAAUGGCAAGACAAUCCCUAUGAGAAGAUCAUUUUUCCUUGAUGUGUGAUGGAUUCUAGUUCUGCACGGUGGGACUUGUAGAUUGGGCAUACCACACAAUAAUUCAUUUCCCUCGAAUGAUUCAGUUGAGAAAUUUCUAAAAGGUCCCUUAUUAGGAAUCUCCCCUUCCAACUUAUUGAAAGAAACAUUUAUAUCUUUGAGAUCUAACAAUUUCUCUAAAGAUAUAGGAAUAGUUCCAGAGAGAUUAUUAUUGGAUAAAUUUAAGGAUUUCAAGUUUAUCAAAUCACCAAUUGAAUCGGGAAUUGAGCCUUGUAAUCUAUUAUAUUCUAAAAAGAGAUAUUGUAGAUCUUUUAGGCCUCCAAUUGUUGUUGGGAUAACAUCUGAAAAAUUAUUCAUCGACAAAUCUACUUGUACCAAAACCUUCAAAUUUCCAAUCUCUGAUGGGAGUGGACCAGUAAAAAAAUUUGAAGACAAGUCAAGGUACAAAAUGUCCUUAAGGUUCCAUAAAGUUGAAGGAAUAGAAGUUAGCUUAUUGGAGCCCAAAUAGAGAUUCCUUAGAUUAGUGAGAUUGCCAAAGCAUGCUGGUACGAAUCCAUCAAGCUUAUUGCCCCCAGAGUCCAACUCAAACAGUGCAGCUAAACGACAAAGAUCAUCUGGGAUUGAUCCUUCCAAUUGAUUAUCUUCCAAACUCAAUAAUUGAAGCUUUUGUAAUUUGCCAACAGCAAUCGGAAUUGAUCCAUUCAAGUUGUUUCCUCCUAAAUAAAUUGCUAUCAAGUUGGUCAAGUUGCCGAUCUCUUCAGGGAUGCCGCCACUAAUGUUGCAAUUGUGCAUCCGAAAGUCUUCCAUAGAUUGAGAAAGAUUGCCUAUAGCCCUUGGAAGAAUGCCACCUAGUGGAUUAUUAUAGAAGCCAAAAUACUCCAAAUACUUGCAAUUUGACAACGAGGAUAGAAACCUCAAUUUUGGAGUUGAAGAUGUCAAAUAAUUGUCAUUUAAACCAAGCCACUUAAGGUUUCUUAAAUUGCCAAAUGUGUUUGGAAUAAAACCGGAGAAUGAGUUCUCUUCCAAUGCUAGUUUGGAGAGCUUAGAAGCAUUGAAGAUGAAACUAGGAAUUGUGCCACUAAAAUUAUUACCCCACAAGUGAAGUUCUUCAAGAUUUGGAAGUCGGACGUCUCCGCUUGAUGCAAGUCUUCCCGAGAGUGAGUUACUCUGAAGAUGAAGUGAUUUGAGUGUUGACACAUUGAAGAUUGUAGUUGGGACAACACCAACUAAUUUGUUAAAACUAAACGCCAUCCAUUCUAGAUUAUGGAGAUUACCGAUUUCAUGUGGUAUCUCACCUGUAUUUUGAAACAAAAAAUAAUUCAAAUUUAUUUUUAAUAAUAAAUUACACACUUUUAAAUCAUGAAAUGAGUAUUCGUAAUUAAAAUUAUUAAAUAUGAGUUUAAGAUGAAUUAUUAUACAUAGAUAAAAUGUUAAUAAAAUUUUAAAUUUUUAUUCUUUUUAAUUAAAUAUAAAUAUUAAUAAUUCCAGUAUUCAUGUCAUUAUUAAAUUAAAAAAAUAAAGAAACCACUCAUUUUAAUAUUAAUUUGAAUUAGUAAUAUAAUAUUUGUAUGAACAUAAGAAUUUUUUUCAAAACUAAACUUUUACAUUAUUUUUCUAGGUCCUACUACAGUGAAUAUAUGAAUUGAUAUCAUGGUGGAAGAAUAUUGAUUUCAUGUUUUAAAAAACAAUUAAUCUAUUUUAGACUUUCCUUUACAAAAUAAAAACACUUUUUUUUAUGCCUAAAUAAACGUCUGAACUUAACCGCCAUUAUCAGAAACUGUUGCUUGUUUUUUACUUCUUCUUCCCUACUACUUAUUGUAUCACUAACUUUUGAACUUUUGGUAUAAACAUAAGCAAAGAAGAAACAUUGCCAAUUAAUUCUUAAUUCUUUUACAAACUUACGUCAUGGAAUUAGAUUAAAAUUGGAUGCGCUACUGUCAUGGUAUUCUGCAAUAGCAACUGACAGAUGAAGUAGACAACAUCAAUUGAACACCAUUUCUAUUUGCAAUCUCUAAAAUUAAUUUAACUUUUCACACUUAUAGAUAUUGUUCAAUCUUUCUAAUUCUCCAUUUGAUUUUGGACCCUAGAAAGACAAUUAAAAAAAUGAACAAAAAAAGAAAGUAAAGAAAAACAUAUAAUCUGCUUGAUAGAUUAUCAAAAUUUGUCGAGUGAUCACAAAAUAAAAGAAAAUGCAAUAGAAAAGAGAAAGAGAAAAACUAACACAGUGAAAGAAAUAGAAGGUUUAUGCUUGUUAGACAUUCGUUAAUCUUAGAGCCAUUAAGUCUUAGAUUUUUAAUUAGGCAAUGAAACGAUGUAUUUUAAUUUUAAUAAGGAAAGUCUAAAAUAAUUUAAAUCAUAGACUCACUAAAAUGCUUAAACAAAAUUGAUUUUCGAGCAAAUAAACACCUGCUAUUCUAGGAACAAGCGCACAGUGGUCCAGGUAAAAUACUCGAAGUGAUAACUAAAAACAUGACAUAAAUAUAAAUCACACGUACCUUGGAGUCUGUUUUGGUAAAGAGAUAAAUACUUAAGCUUGGUCAAAUUGCCGAUUUCUUUUGGUAUGUCUCCCGACAAGCCAUUGACCGACAAAUAUAAUGUUUGUAGAAGUUUGCACCUUGAUAAAGUCGAUGGGAUUUUGCCGUCAAAGCUGUUUACGCUUAGAAAGAGGAUUUCCAGAAAAGGAAGGUUGUUGCAAAUAUUUGCCGGGAGUUCACCUGGGAGUUCACCAAAUAAUAUCUUUAUAUUCAAAAUGAAUAUUUUCUAGUAAAGAAGACUUAAAUAACAUAAAGGAAGGGAUUGGACCAGAGAGCUGGUUAUAGCUAAGAUAAAGUUUUUGAAGUGAAGAUGGAUUCCCAAGUUGAGAAGGAACGAUGCCUGUUAAGAAAUCAUUUGUUAGCGAUGGCAUCACCAAUUAUAUAAAGAUAAACAGUGAUUUCAUGUCAAAUAUUUUAUGUUGAUGUCACAAAUGCAUAUUAUUAGCCAAAACUACCUGUCAAGUUAUUAACUGACAAAUCCAAAUUCGAUAGAGAAGAAAGAUUGAAGAUUGAUGAAGGAAUGGUUCCAGUUAAGAAAUUAUUUUGUAGCCAUAACUCCUCUAAUUCUGCAAGAUUCCCGAGCUCUUCUGGAAUUUCUCCUAAAAUCCAUCAGUAACAUAUGCUUUAACUAUUUUAACUUAUUAAAAACAAAAACAAAAAAAAAGUAAAGAAAAACAUCUAAUCUGCUUGAUAGAUUAUCAAAAUUUGUUGAGUGAUCACAAAAUAGAAGAAAAUGCAAUAGAAAAGAGAAAGAGAAAAACUAACAAAGUGAAAGAAAUAGAAGGUUUAUGCUUGUUAGACGUUUGUUAAUCUUAGAGCCGUUAGUCUUAGAAUUUUAAUUAGGCAAUGAAACGAUGUGUUUUAAUUUGAAUAAGGAAAGCGUAAAAUAAUUUAAAUCAUAGACUAAGAAAGGCAUAAACAACAUGUGUCAUGAUCUUAUACAAAAUUUAAGAAAGAUUAGAAUAUGAGAGGAUCCAAAUCCCCUUAUCUAUUAUAAUUCUCUGCUGAUUCAAAGUUACCGUCAACAUUUAUUAUAAGGGUUCCAAUUAAAAUGCUUAAACAAAAUUGAUUUUCAAGCAAAUAAACACCUGUUAUUCUAGGAACGAGCGCACAGUGGUCCAGGUAAAAUACUCGGAGUGAUAACUAAAAAAAUGAGAUAAAUAGAAAUCAUACAUACCUUGGAGUUUGUUUUGGUCAAGAUAUAAAUACUUAAGCUUGGUCAAAUUGCCGAUUUCUUUUGGUACGCCUCCCGAGAAGUCAUUGAUCGACAAAGAUAAUGUUUGUAGAUGUUUGCACCUUGGUAAAGUCGAUGGGAUUUUGCCGUCAAAGUUGUUUUCGUCUAGAAACAGGAUUUGCAAAAGAGGAAGGUUGCUGCAAAUAUUUGCAAGGAGUUCACCUGGGAGUUCACCAAAUAAUAUCUUUAUAUUCAAAAUGAAUAUUUUCUAGUAAAGAAGACUUAAAUAACAUAAAGGAAGGGAUUGGACCAGAGAGCUGGUUAUAGCUAAGAUAAAGUUUUUGAAGUGAAGAUGGAUUCCCAACUUGAGAAGGAAUGAUGCAUGCUAAGAAAUCAUUUGUUAGCGAUGACAUCUCCAAUUAUAUAAAGAUAAGCAGUGAUUUCAUGUCAAAUAUUUUAUGUUGAUGUCACAAAUGCAUAUUAUUAGCAAAUACUACCUGUCAAGUUAUUAACUGACAACUUCAAACUCGAUAGAGAAGAAAGAUUGAAGAUUGAUGAAGGAACCGCUCCAGUUAAGAAAUUAUUUUGUAGCCAUAACAUCUCUAAUUCAGCAAGAUUCCCGAGCUCCUCUGGAAUUUCUCCUAAAAUCCAUCAGUAACAUAUGCUUUAACUAUUUUAACUUAUUAAAAACAAAAAAAAGAAAGUAAAGAAAAACAUCUAAUCUGCUUGAUAGAUUAUCAAAAUUUGUUGAGUGAUCACAAAAUAGAAGAAAAUGCAAUAGAAAAGAGAAAGAGAAAAACUAACAAAGUGAAAGAAAUAGAAGGUUUAUGCUUGUUAGACGUUUGUUAAUCUUAGAGCCGUUAGUCUUAGAAUUUUAAUUAGGCAAUGAAACGAUGUGUUUUAAUUUGAAUAAGGAAAGCGUAAAAUAAUUUAAAUCAUAGACUAAGAAAGGCAUAAACAACACGUGUCAUGAUCUUAUACAAAAUUUAAGAAAGAUUAGAAUAUGAGAGGAUCCAAAUCCCCUUAUCUAUUAUAAUUCUCUGCUGAUUCAAAGUUACCGUCAACAUUUAUUAUAAGGGUUCCAAUUAAAAUGCUUAAACAAAAUUGAUUUUCAAGCAAAUAAACACCUGUUAUUCUAGGAACGAGCGCACAGUGGUCCAGGUAAAAUACUCGGAGUGAUAACUAAAAAAAUGAGAUAAAUAGAAAUCAUACAUACCUUGGAGUUUGUUUUGGUCAAGAUAUAAAUACUUAAGCUUGGUCAAAUUGCCGAUUUCUUUUGGUACGUCUCCCGAGAAGUCAUUGAUCGACAAAGAUAAUGUUUGUAGAUGUUUGCACCUUGGUAAAGUCGAUGGGAUUUUGCCGUCAAAGUUGUUUUCGUCUAGAAACAGGAUUUGCAAAAGAGGAAGGUUGCUGCAAAUAUUUGCAAGGAGUUCACCUGGGAGUUCACCAAAUAAUAUCUUUAUAUUCAAAGUGAAUAUUUUCUAGUAAAGAAGACUUAAAUAACAUAAAGGAAGGGAUUGGACCAGAGAGCUGGUUAUAGCUAAGAUAAAGUUUUUGAAGUGAAGAUGGAUUCCCAAGUUGAGAAGGAACGAUGCCUGUUAAGAAAUCAUUUGUUAGCGAUGGCAUCACCAAUUAUAUAAAGAUAAACAGUGAUUUCAUGUCAAAUAUUUUAUGUUGAUGUCACAAAUGCAUAUUAUUAGCCAAAACUACCUGUCAAGUUAUUAACUGACAAAUCCAAAUUCGAUAGAGAAGAAAGAUUGAAGAUUGAUGAAGGAAUGGUUCCAGUUAAGAAAUUAUUUUGUAGCCAUAACUCCUCUAAUUCUGCAAGAUUCCCGAGCUCUUCUGGAAUUUCUCCUAAAAUCCAUGGGUAACAUAUGCGUUAACUAUUUUAACUGAUUAUUAACCGACACUCAAGAAGAAAAAAAUGAAAUAAAAAAAGCUUUUGCCUGAAGAGAGAUAAAAAAAAAAUUACUCAAUAGAAUUAAAUAAUUAUAGGCUGACAGGAUUAAUAAAUGUGAGACAUUAUUAAUUUUCAUCAAUUAAUUAAACUCAUUGAUCAUACCUUGGAGUUUGUUCCCUCCAAGAUAUAACCCGAUAAGCGUUGUCACGUUGCCAACUUCUUUUGGUAUGGUCCCCGAAAAAUCAUUGAGCGAUAAAGAUAUCUUUCGCAGCCGUUUGCAGCUUGAUAAAGUGGAUGGUAUCUUGCCAUGAAACAUGUUACUUUUAAGAAAUAGGGAUUCCAAAUUGGAAAGGUGAUCGCAAAAUUUUGGUGGGAGUUCGCCAAAUAGUGUAUUGUUUCUAAAAUCAAUAGAAAGUAAAGAAGACAUGUUGAAGAUAGAGGCCGGAAUGGAACCAGAAAACCAAUUAAAACUGAGAUCAAGUGAUUGAAGAGACGAAAGAUUCCCGAGUUCAGAAGGGAUAGUGCCCGUGAGAUUUAACCCAGAUAUAUUCAAGGCUGUGACUCUAUGAGUACGGACAUCACAAGUGAGGCCCGUCCAACUACAGACAGAGCUACUUGUGUUCCAAUUUCUAGCCAAAAAAUUGGUUGGAUCAUCAGUUACAUGACCUUUCAGGGCAAGAAGGGCUUGUUGGUCUAUGGUAAUACUUGUAGUGUUGGCUGAUGCAAUCAUGAAGGAAAGAAUCAAGCAAUGGAGUAAGAGAAAUCUGAGCAUCAUCCGGGCAGAAGGAAUUCUUUCCAUGAGACUAGAAUAUUUAGAUUGUAAGUGUGUGCUUAAUUGGAUUGAUAAUGCAAGAACACUCAUAGCUGCUUCCAAGCAUAUAUAAUGAAACCGAAAUUUCGAAGAAGCAGCAAGAAAGAAAAUAGAGGAGUGAAAAGGCUAUGCUCAUAACUUGCUGAAAGGUGCAAAAUUGUAUGUGGACCCGCUGAGUCAAGGCAGUCCUUCAGGUCCACACUCAAGAUGAUUGCAGUAAGUUUUGUUUUCCUUUAUAAUCAUCCUAUUAACUUAUCGCAAAAUAGUUCUACUCAUUAAAAAAAAAUUAAAUUAUUCUCCAUAUAUAGUAACAAGACAUAUAAUGCUCCUAGAAAAAAAAAAUUAUAUUUCUAUAUGCUUUUUCUGAAUUUGAGAUAAUUUACUAGUUCUGAAAAAAAUUGUACGAACCGGUGGUGUCGUUGGGUAAAAAAGUUCUUCACGGGUCAAUGAGGAUGUCAUAAGUUGACGCAAAUUGCCGAAGUCAAUGAAAGAAGAGACAAUGAAACCGAUUAUUAUUUUUAUAUAAGUAUUCAUAUUCAUUGAAGGAAUUUAACAGUUCUCAAUGGGACAAUAGAUGUUUGAGUGUUUUUGCUAUUGGUAUGAUCAUUCAAGGAUUUACAAGUGCCAAUAAAAAUAUAGGGAAAACCUAUGGUGCAACUGUGGUACCGUGCCACAGUUGCUUCCAGCCGUUGGAUGUCAGUGGACCCCACUUAUUCAAGUGCAUCCAACGGCUGGAUGCAACUGUGGCACGGUACCAUAGUUGCACCGUAGCCGGACCCAAAAAUAUAACCAAAAAGGAAAAAUAUGUGGCUUCAAUUGUAUUUGUGAGGGACACUCAUUUCUGAUCUUUAACUUGAAUUGGUUUUUUUUUUCCUCCAAAUUAUGAAUAUCUCAUGUGGAAAUUGGAAAUUUUUAUCACCUAUGAUUGGCUAAUAUGGAAAUUCUCUUUGAGCAAUAUAUAAUUCUCUUUUAAGAAGAAGAAGUUAGUGGCCUGUUAAUUAUGUGUGCUUUAUGGGUUACAAUUAGUACUAUUUUCAUUUCACUUUUAUUAGGGAUGAUGACAGAACUAAAUUUUUAAAAUUUUCUCCGGAAAAAAUAAAUGUUUACAAAGGCGUCAUGUGCAUGCAAUCCUACAGAAUUUCGUAACUAAUAAUAAACUUGCAAGAGAUUGAGAUUGAACGAUGAUGAAGUACAGAGCAAAUGCAAGAGCAAAAGAAAGAAAACUCGUUUUCAAAAAAAAAAAACACAACAUAAUGUUUAUAUUACUUUUAUUUGCGAAAAUUUUCAAAACAUAAUAGUUAAUUCAUACAUACUGAUUAAUUUGUCAGAUGUGUAAUAUAAUUUUCGGCGAACGCGUUGCAUUAAGUCACUCCUUCAGGUCCACUCCGAAUCACUGGAUAUUUUACUCUCUUCUUAUUAUGUGGAUCCAAUCAAAACUUUCAACUUUUGGGAUUCAGCCAUCGGAUUUAAUAAAAACGUUGUUCAAUGGCAAGAGCUUUGUUUAUAUGGUUUAGUUCUUAUAUUUUAAUUUAGGAGUUUAUUUAAUUUUUAUAUAUUGAAAAAUACUUCAAAAUACUUCUCUUAUUAAAUAUAUUAGGUUCCAGCCUUUAAUAUUUUCGUUUUAAUGGUAAUACCUUACAAUAACAAUCUUGGAGAUAUUAAUGAAAAAAUUUAAUUCAUCAAAUUAGCCUAAAAAAAAUAAAAAUUAAAGAAAUUUUUAUGUUAUUAUUUUACUUUUAUGAUUAAUUUGGUAAAUUAAAUUUUUGUAUACAAUUAUUAGUAAGAUUAUUGUAAUGAUAUUAAAUAUUACUUUCAGUUAGUUGAUAUUAAUUUAUUUAAAAAUAGUUGUUUGUCAGAUUCUAGUUAAAGUACAAAAAAUACUAUUUCUUUCAUAAUGAUAUUUAUUGAUUAAUUUGGUAAUUAAUAAUUAGUUAACUUGCUAUUAAAUUUUUUUAGAUAAAUUAAUUAAUAUUAAGAAUAUUGUUGAUAGGGUAGCAUUAUAAAGGUAAAGAUAAGAAUAUAAUAUAUUUAAUACUAAUAGUAUUUUGAAGUACUUUUUAAAAUAUAAGAAUUAAAUGAGUAUUUAAAUCAAAAUACAAAAACUAAACAAGCAUUUACUUGAUAAAAAAUCACAAAAGUUGAAUGUUUCAAAAUUUUGACACCCAAGACUUAUCUAUUAAAAGAGGUCAUGAGAAUUAAAACUUAGAUGAAACAGUGCCGUAACGUUAUCACAAAGACGUGCUGAGAUUUUCCUAUUUUCAAAUUUAAAUUUGACACCCAUAAGAGAUAGCGAUGGUGAGAGUGUGACUGCUCACUUGGAAUUUAAAUUUAAUUACACGGUCGCAUUCUCUCUCUGAUAUUUUUCGUAUUCUCUUUCAAGAAGAAUAAAUUAGCGGGCCAUUGAAUAGUAUUUAUGCGUGCUUUAUGGGUUAUAACAUUUUUGUCGAUCCUUAGCUCGACUCAAAAGUCAUGAAUUGCAAAGCCAAUGUAACAGAAGACAAUCGGGUAAUGACUAAUUAAGUAUUUAUGAUGGAGUGACACUCGCAAGUGCUUCUAAGUAUUUAUGAUGAAACCUAAAUUUCUCUCCACGUGAAAGAGAAAAAUCAGAAAAUAGAGGAGAGAAAUUAAAGCGAGAAAAGAUUCCUCUCCACGUGACAACAAACGUUGAAAUGUUUUUGCUAUUCGUUUGAUGCUUCGAGGAUUCACAGGUGCCGAUAAGUCCAACAAAAUUCCGCGGCUUGAAUUGUAUUUGUUAGGGGCACUCGUUUCUGAUCUUUUAACUUGAAUUAGUUUUUGUCGAUCUCGCUGCAAAAAUUAUCUUCCAAGAUGAAGAAAUCAGUGGCCCAUCGGUUAUAACAUUUUUGUCAAUAGUCAACCCAACUCAGAAAUUACGUGUUGCGAAGUCAAUGAAAGAGAAGACAAAAGUCAAUGAAAGCGAAGACAGCAAGACAUAUGGUGGGACACUUAAGUAUCAUUUGGGAUUAAAGUAGAAAUUUAAUAAAUUUCUUAUUUCAUAAUUCUUUAUAAAAAUAAUAUUUAAUAAAUUUUAUAAAAAUUAUUUAUUUUAUAAUUUUUUAUUUUACUGCAGUUUUUAAAAACAAGUUGAGAUUUACUCUUCAUAAGUAGCUUAAAAUAAGCCACCACAAUUUCUCAAAGUUUCUAUUAUAAUAUUAAUAAUUUAACAAAAAAAUAAUUAUUUCUUAUUUUUUUCAUACACUGUAAUACAUAAGCUAUUAGUAUCGUAUUACCACCACAAUUUACUGUCACAACUAGUUUGAGUUCUCUCAGUAUCAAAAUUUUGAUUUAGCAAGUUCAUAUUUUUUUUAUAUUUUAAUAUUAUUUUCUAUUAUAAAAUUAAUGAGACUUAUACAUGAUUACACAAAUUUUUUUAAACAAUGAACAAGUUCAUGUGAAAUUUAAACAUAAGUCUUAAAAUCAAAUUCGUGACUAUAAUUUUUAUCGUUCAAUCUAUUUAUAUUUUUUCUAUAGUCACGGUAUUCAUUGCAACAAGUUGAUUAUCUGCUUUUAAGAGUCUUGUUACAAUUUCCUUUGCAUUGAUUCUCUGCUUUGGUGAUUCCACAGUAAUGCUCUAUAGCGAAAUUGAAGACAAAUGACAUGAACUUAGCAGUUUUGCACCAACAACUUCCAUAAUUGAAUUGGGUAGCAUAUCAUUAACCCAACGCUUUAAUGUCAUUUUUCCAUGAAAAUUUUCAUCUGUGGGUUUCUUCCCAUUGAAUGUUUCCAUUAUCAUUAUCCCAAAGCUGUAAACAUCCCCAUUUGUGGUUGCCUAUCCUUCUCUUCCAUACUCUAUGGAUUUCAACAAUUACAUGGUAAGAUAAAAUAAUUAACAAUAGCAUGCUCAAAUGAAGAUCGUAAAAAUAAAUAACAUAUCAUAAAGUAUUAAAGAAAUAAAAAAAUUAAUGUAGAACAAACUCGGUGGUGGCAAGUGUUUGUGUUUGAGUCAAUGAUUAAUCUUCUCUGAGUAAGAGUUUUGCCAUGCCAAAAUCACUCAAAUGAGCAACCGUAUUAUUGUCUAGCAAAACAUUACUCGACUUUAAAUCACAAUGAAUUAUAGGUGUUGAAUGACCAAAGUGUAGAUAUACCACAGCUGAUGCAACAUCUGUCAUUAUGUUUAAUCUUUGAAAAAUAUCCAAAAUGUAGUUGCUUGUAUACAAACACUUACCCAGAUUUCCAUGAGGCAUGUAUUCUAAUACCAAUGCCUUAAAAUCAUCAUUUGAACAACUACUAAUGAUUUUGAUAAGGUUUUGAUGGUGAAUACUUUUCAUCAUAUUGCAUUCAACAUUAAGGUUCUUAAAUGCUCCUCCAUAUUGCAAGUUAAAAACCUUUACUACAACCUCCAUCCCAUCUUGAAUUCGUGUCUUGUAAAUAGAGCCAAAACCUCCUUUGCCGAUUAGAUUGUUUUAAUUAAAUCCGUUGUAGCUAGAAAAAGUUCUAGGUACGAAAACUUUCUCCAAGUUGCUACUAGUGGCAUAUUAGUAUCAUUUGGACUUUGGUAUUCGUUUUCCUCUCUUUCCAUAUCUCUAGAUCAACACAAUGAGUACUAUCAUAAAUACAGUACUCAAUGGCAAGACAAUCCCUAGGAGAGGAUCAUUUUCCCUUGAUGUGUGGUGGAUUCUAGUCUUUUAAAUUUUUGAAAAAGCAUAAAAUACAGGUGGCUAGUGAAUAUUGCCCUUUUAUUUAUCAAGCUCAUGUGUCAUGUCUUGUCUUUUGAAUUUAAUGCCUUCUUUUAUUUGUUUUAUUACCCAAUUCGUUCAAAAUAAUCACAAUUAUGCCACUUUUUAAUUUAUAGAAUUUAGAAUAUUACCUUUAAGUUAGUAGAAUUAUCCAAAUUUUUAUUGGGAUUGGGAAUCUCGUCCUGAAUCAUAUAGAGUUCAAUUCAAUAUAAAUUUUUUUAAAAUUAAUUUAAAAUUAGUUGAGAUUUAAUAUAAAAUUUUUCCUAAUUUAUUAUUUAGAAUAUCUGAAAAUCUCAAUCAAAAUAUUGAUUGCCUUGACUAUUGUUUUAAUUUUUAAUUAACUAAAUUUAAAAAAAUCAUUUAUCUUAAAAUAAACAAAAAUGAUUGACCCAAGCACGAAUCCAACAAAUUCACUACUUUGCAUUCACUUUUAGAGUUUAUUUAUUUAUUAUUUAUUUUUUUAGCGACAUUCAGUUUUAAAGUUUAGUUAAACUAAACAGAUGAAGAAGAAAAUAAAUUAGGUUGUUGAUUUACAUAUUAAAUUUAGAUAAUGAAUGGAUAAAAUGGGGACGUUGGUCUUUAGAAUCGCAACUUGCAAUAUAAAGCAAGAAAAAUGUGAGAGUCACAAGUUUUACCAUUUCUCUCUUAUAUACAUAUCUAUUAGGAUGAGUUGAGCAGCCAUAUAACUCUUUAGUUCCAAUAAAAGAUAACAAAUUAACUUUUCAAACAAUAUAUAUAUAAUUACGAUGAUUUUUCAUUUGUUCGUUGGCUUUUGCACCUUGGUGCCGAAGCAACGAAGGACGUGGGGCAAUUGCUGGAUACGAAAAUCACCCGCAUGAUUAACUAUGAGAAGGCCCAAUGACCAAGCCCAACAGAAAAAGGACCAAAUGGAAGCCCAAUAUUCUUUCUACUCUUGACACACCAGACACAGCAAAUGGAAUCUUCCUCAAGCAAGACUUAUUAAAAUCACAUUUAUUAAUUUUAUUUCUUUUACUUUCAAAAAAAAAUUGAUAACAAAAUAGCUAGGUUGAGAAAUGUGGUCAAGAAGUGUGUGCAAAUUUUAAAAAAAAAUUAUUAUUAUUUUCAUAAAUUUAUUGAUUGUAUUUUCUAAUUAAAAAAGGAUACUUUUUUGUCUGUAUAAUAUAUAUGAGGUUAUAUGUGGAACUGCAUGAAAGAUCAAACUUUUCAAUAUUAAAUUUUACUAAAAAUAUAGUGUAGGAUUAGGUGAUUUUCACCUAAGAAAAUUUUAAAAAAAAAUCACCAAAUACCAUAAUUAGUUUUAAACUUUUCAAAAUUAUUUUUGAGCGUCCCAUUUGCUUCUUGAAAUAACUUCUUAUUUGUUGACAUGAAGGGAUAAUGUGAAAGUGCCUCUAUUGUAAAUUAAAUUAUUAUUAUUAUUAUAGUUGUUAUAGAACUUUAUUUCUUGUUAUACUCAAGAUACACUCAUAAAUCACAGCUUAUAAUGAUUUGGGUGGGGUACAAAAACAAAAACCUUUAGGACAGAUUUGUAUAUUUUCAUUUUUACAACAAAAUCCAUUUUUAGAUGGACAGUCCCUCACACAAUCAGAAUCUUGGGUGCAACGAAUUGGUAACCCUCCAGUGUAGGCUUCAGCACUUGGCAACUCAAAGAUUGUGGUGCCUGCCAAUUGACAUCAAUAAUUCAUGAUUAUAUAGAAAUGAAAUAAAAAGCGAAAUGUGUUAGCAAUUAUCAAAACAAUAUACAGAGAGAGAGAGAUAUUUGGGACAUUGACUAACCAUGUGCAACGAUCAUGAGUACGACCAAGAAAGUUAGUUUAAACGAGACUUUCUCCAUUUGCUGUAAGAAAAAGAUUAUGCAGGAUGUUUCUUUGAGUGGGAAAAAAAAAUCUAAAAAAAUUGUAUGCAAGAACUUUGUUCUUCACCUCAUAUUUAUAGAGAUGUAAUAUACAAAUGGUAAAAUGGCACACCCAACUUCUACGUUAUUUUAUAGAAAAAUCGCAAUAAAUCAAAUAAACUUGCAACAAAUUAAUAUUCAAAUCAUUAAACCUAGCCUAAUAGGAAACAAUAAAAAAAGGAAAAAAAUUUUUUUUUUCAUUUUUUUCCAGCUUCGCAUUAACAACGCAGACACAUUUUCCGUUGUUAGUAAAAUCUCCAUCCAUCUUAGUUCAUAAAAUUAAUUGCAUCAUUACAAUGUCAAUCAGCAUCUAGACAGUAAAUGUAAGUUGAUGAUCCCACUAUUAAUUCCAUUUCACGUUGAUUAGGGUAAAAAAUAAAAAUAAAAAAUUUCUUAUAUUCAUGUAAUUUCUAUAAUCUCUUAAAAAUACCAUAUGAAGUAGGUCUAUUUUGCUAUUAACUAAAUAUCCCAGAUUUUGUAUUAUUGAAUCCAUUUAUUGCCUUAAGGCUGUAUAUAUGUAUAUUUUUUAACUUUGCUUUGAACUCAUCUCGUGCCAUUGAGAUUUUGACUUUCUUCUGUUUAUUGCUACCAUUUUGAAAUUAAACAAUUGAUCAACUUAUUAAUAAUCGAUCAACUUAAUUUUAUUUAAUUGAUCAACCUAGUUUUCUUUCAUUAACGUUUUAUAGCAUGAUUCAUUCGUGAUAUAUAUUUACAACAUUUUUUUUAUGUGUCCUUUGCUUCAAUUCACUCAUAAUAAAUCUUAAAAUCAUUAUCAACCAUCGUGAUUUAACUAUAAUAGUCUGAAAACAAUUUGAAAAAAAAUAUAACUCUAUGGAUAAUUCAAUUUUAAGGGUAUUAUCAGACAAAUCAUUGCACUAACAAUUUUGAUUGUUUGCUUGCAAAAGUAAAAUAUGCAUUUGUAUAACUGGUUUUGCAAUAAGAAAAAAUGUUAAAAGGUACCCCAAUUUUUUCUUUCAAGUUUCAAGUUAAUUAUAUGGUUGCUAAGUGAAUUAAGAAAGUAACCUCAUUGGCCUCUCUUAUAAUAUGGAUGUCUUUUGAAUUAUCUUAAUUUAGAAUUUAUUGACAUACACUAAUUGAUAAUUAACUUUUUUGUUCUCAUAAGUGAUCUUCUUCUUUAUGCUUCACCAAUGGUGACAACAUUUUAAAUCAAUGAGAUAUUCAUUAUAUUAGCAGAAAUUACGAGGGAUCUCAACGAGAAUAUUAGAAUAACCCCAAAAUAAUAAAAAGGAUGAUUGUGGCUUGAAGACUGGUUCUCGCCACAAGUUGGGCUGGUUUAUGCUCAAUCCACGGCCAUAACAUCCUAGAAAAAGUUGAAUAAAUAAUAUUUUGUGAGUUCUUGAUGGAGCGAGAGUAGCGGAAGCAAAACUGAUUGGGUAAGACAAAGCGGAAGUGGAAUUGAUAGGAUUGAAAACACUAAAUAUCAUUCUAAUACUUGACCAAGCCAACACGAUUAGGUUACGCUUUAAUCGAAGCAUGAUUAGAUAUCAUUUUAAUCCAAACGACUCAAUAAGAUUUUUAAUAACGUUUAAAGUGAGAUUAUAUAACGUUUUAAUCCAAACAACUCUACAAAAGAUAUUUUGAUAGAUAAUUCCAGAGGAAAUUAUAAAAGAGGAAAUUUUAUUAAAUAAUUGAAUCUGAAGUUGUGAAAAUAAUAACAAGACCUCUAUAUUUAUAAUAGAGUAAACUCAUUUCCCUAAGUUAACUUAAAAAAAGGAAAACUAAAUCGUAAUUAUAAUGGAAAUAAAAUAUACUUUCUCUAAGUUAACUAAAUCUCAUGCCUUAAUUGACUCUAAUAAAAAUAGAAAGUUCUAAAAUAAUAAAAUACCAUAAUUGACUCUAAUUAAAAUAGAAAUCUUAGAAUAAUAAAAUUCUAGAAUCUUAAAAUUUCUAAAAUAACGUCCUACAUUAGUUCUAGUUGAUAUUGUUAAUUUUGCAGAAAAUAUUUUUUAAGAUAUUAAAAUCUUCAUAAAUCUUUUAUAGACCUUUCCUCAUUUAGGCCUUCUCGAAAAGCUAGAACUUACAAUCAAACUUUUGCCCCAUUAUAUAACAUAUGUUAGUAAAAUUCAUUUUUACAAAUGAUAAUUCUAUUCACCCCUUUCUUUAUAUUUUCUAAAAGAUCUAAAAUUUUACUCCCAUACUUACGGAAAAAUUCAAACCUUCCAAUGAUAGGCGAUGGUGAUGAUGAGAGAGAAAGAAAAAUAAAAUAAAAAUAAUUAAUAAUAUAAAAUUUUUUAAUUAUAGUAAUUUUAAAAAUAAACAUUUAAUACCCAUAGCUAAGACAUCCUUGAGUUGGGUUGGGACCCCAGGCAUGGUCAUAGCAGGUAUGAAACCUUUUCAAUUGUUCGGUUCCUUAGUUAGCUCCUCAAACUUCAGAAAGUAUACAUUUCCGAGGAGGUGUCUUCACCUAAAACCAAAUCAACUUAUUUGAGCUCAACAAAAGUUUGUAUCUCCCUCUAAGUAACAUAUAUUUAUCUGGUCUCAACAUACACCUAAUAUUGAAAUUCUUUUCAAAAGCAUCACUUCAUUCAAUGAAAAGCACAUUGGCCAAUGUAUUUGCAGUCUUUUACUAAGCGGGUACCAUCAAGAUCAACCGCUACACCACUUUUUAUGCUAUUUCAAAGAAGAUUAUAAAUAUUUUAGAGUUCCACAAACUCUAUAAUAUAGAAACUUAAAUCAGUGCACUACGCAUAAAUUUCGUACAGAAAGAAUAUUCAAACAUCUCUAUAAACACAAACUCUCAAGAUGUUUUAGAGUUAAACAAAGCUACCAUUUCAUGCCUAGAAAAAAUGUAACAAUUUUUCCCACCAGAGUGGUUAUUACUCAAUACGGAUUUGCCUCAAGUCACCGGAGAGGCUUUUAGAGCAAAUUCAACAAUUUUGGGUUCUAAAAUUUUGCUCUUUAAAGCGUUAUUUUGGCUUAGUGUUUCAAUUAUCAAGAAGAGGUAUAAAGAUCAAUGGCUCCUACUAUCCUAGUUUUAGCUUAAUAUGUAUCUCUCAUUUUAAUUAAUAUGGUUGUUUCUUAAAAAGUUAAUUAAGAUCAUUGGCUUUGAAUUACUACUAUAGGAUUUCGAAAAUGAUAAGCACCCUAUUUCUUCUUCAUCUUUAAAAUCACCCAACAAACCAAAGUUUGUUCAAAUUUAAAUGUCCCUACUAUAUCAGUGCUAACAUUUGUCUCAAAAUUUUGCUCCAUUAAUCCGUGAAUUCAAAAGGAACAACGAUCUUUUCCUAUCCCUAGUCCUUUUUUAUUUUUAUUUUUAUUUUUAUUUUUUACUCUCAUAGUUUAGUGAGUGGCUAAGAUUGAAUUUUAAAUUUUAAUAUUGAUAAUCAAGUCAGCUUUUUUUUUAAUUUUAUUUACAAUUAAGCCAACUUUAAAAAAAAAAAAGAUUUGAAUAACUAGCAGAGUUUAGGAGAGAAAAAAAAAAUUAAGAGAGAAUCCUAAUCCAACUUGGAGACUCAUGUUGAUACUUGUAGAGACUGUUCUGCUGCCUUCCACGUAGAAAAAUAUUUACUUGGAUUGAGACUAGAGAUUUUUUUUCCUUAAAAUAUCUUUUUUUUAAUCAUAAGUUUGUGAGCAACAUAUAUGAAUCACAUUGGUGUUGAGGUUUGAUUUUGAACAAGUCAUCUUUAGUUUAAAAUUAUAAUACGAACCGAUAUCUAAAGGUCUGGCUUCUAAAUCAGAUAAAAGUUUGUCCAUAAUUAACUCCUGGCGAUGCCCAAAAACUCUAUGAACAAAUUAUUAUACAAGCAAGCUGCUGCAUGAUUAUAUUUCUUAUUCGUGGAUAGCACUUGUAAUAAUUCAACUUGAUUUUCUUUCAAUGACGAUUAUAGCAUGAUUCAGUCAUUAUGUUUAUCACAAAUUUUUAUUUGUUCGUGUCGUUUUGCACAUUGGCACCAAAGCACAAAGUACAAGGGGCAAUUGUUCGAUAUGAAGAUCACCGGCAUGGUUAACAGUAAAAUGGCCCAAUAAGCAAGCCCAAGUGCAGAAGGAACAAAUGGAAGCCCAAUAUUGUUUUCACUCUUGACACCCAGGAAAUCAAGCAAGACUCAAUAAAAGCACAUUUAUUAAAUAUUUUUUUAAUUUUAAUUUCUCAAACGAAUUGAUAACAAAUAGCUAGGUUGAGGAGUAUAUGUGAAUAUUGUUGAUAGGGUAGUACUAUAAAGGUAAAGAAAAAGUAAAGAUGAUAGUAUAAUAUAUUUAAUAAUAAAUGUAUAUUAAAGUACUUUUUAAAAUAUAAGAAUUAAAUAAGUAUUUAAAUCAAAAUAUAAAAACCAAACAAGUAUUUACUUGAUAAAACAUCAUAGAAGUUAUUUUGACACCCAAGACUUUUAAGUAUUUAUUAUAAAUAAUUGCAAAGCCAAUUAUUUAUUAUUUAUAAUGAAACUGAAAUUUAUCUCCGCGUGAAAAUAAAGGACUGAAGGCGAGAAAAGAUUCCUCUCCACGUGAAAACAGAUGUUGAAAUGUUUUUGCUAUUCGUUUGAUGAUUCGAGGAUUCACAAUUGCCGAUAAGUCCAAGAAAAAUUCCAAAAAUUAUCUUCCAAAAAUAAAGGAGUUAAUUGUGUGUGCUUUAUGGUAUAACAUUUUUGUCGAUACUCAACCCAACUCAGAAAUCACGAGUUGCACAGUCAAUGAAAAAGAAGACAAAAGUCAAUAAAAGCAAAGACAUUAAGACAUUGACUGAUGAUAGCAUGGUGGGACAUUAAGUAUCCCUAGGGAUUAAAGUAGAAAUUUAAUAAAUUUCUUAUCUCAUAAUUUUUUAUGAAAAUAAUAUUUAAUAAAUUUGUAAAAAUUAUUUUUUUAUAAUUUUUUUAUUUUACUGCAUUUUUUUUAAAAAAGGUUGAAAUUUACUUUUCAUAAGCAAUUUAAAAUAAGCCAUCACAAAUUUUCAAAGUUUAUAUUAUAACAUUAAUAAUUUAACAAAAAAGAUAAUCAUAGCUUAUGUUUCCAUACACUCUAGUUUAUAAGCCAUUAGAUAUCAUAUUAGCAUAAUAAUUUACCAAUGCAACUGAUGUGCAUUCUCUCCAAUAUCAAAGUUUUGAUUUAGUAAUUUCAUAUUUUUUAUAUUUUAUUUUUAUUAUAAAAUUAAUGAGACUUAUAUAUGAUUACAUUUUUUUUAAUUACGAACAAGUCCAUGUGAAAGUUAAUCAUGACUUUUAAAAUUAAUUUCAUAACCAUAGAUUUUAACGUUCAAUCUAUUUUCUAUAGUCAUGAUGCAUGAUGCUCAUGAUGCUCAUUGCAACAAGUUGAUUCUCUUAUUUUAAGAAUCUUGUUACGGUUUCCUUUGCAUUGAUUCUCUGCUUUGGUGAUUCCACAGUACACUCCAUAGCCAAAUUGAAGACAAAUGACAUACAUUGCUCUUUGGUCAUAAAAUGUUUGUCCUCCCGACUUAGCAAAUUUGCACCAACAACUUCCAUAACUGAAUUGGGUAGCAAAUCAUUAACCCAAUGCUUUAAUGUCAUUUCUCCAUGAAAAAAAUUAAUUGUGGGUUUCUUCCCGCUGAAUGUUUCCAUUAUCAUAAUCCUAAAGUUAUAAACAUCCCCAUUGCGGAUACUUUUCCUUCUCUUUAAUACUCAAUGGAUUUCAACAAUUAUAUACUACGAUAAAAUAAUUUACAAUAAUAUGCUCAAAUGAAGAUCGUAAGAAAUAAAUAACAUAUCAAAAAAUAUUAAAGAAAUGAAAAAAUAUUUAAUGUGGAACAAACCUGGUGCCAUAUAGCCUAUGCCAAAAAAUGAGCAACCAUAUUAUCGUCUAGCAAUACAUUACUUGACUUUAAAUCACAAUGAAUAAUUACAUGUGUUGAAUGACCAAAGUGUAGAUAUUCCACAGCUGAUGCAACAUCUAUCAUUAUGUGUAAUCUUUGAAAAAAAUCCAAAAUGUAGUUGCUUGUAGACAAGCACUUACCUAGACUUCCAUGAGGCAUGUAUUCUAAUAUCAAUGCUUUAAAAUCAUCCUUUGAACAACUGCUAAUGAUUUUGAUAAGGUUUUGAUGGCGAAUAAUUUUCAUCAUAUUACAUUCAACAUCAAGGUUCUUAAAUGCUCCUCCAUAUUGCAGGUUAAAACCCUUUACCACAACUUCCAUCCCAUCUUGAAUUCUUGCCUUAUAAAUAGAGCCAAAACCUCCUCUGCUAAUUAGAUUGAAAACCUCCUCUGCUAAUUAGAUUGCUUUCACUAAAUCUGUUUUAGCUUGAAAAAGUUCUAUGUAUAAAAACUUUCUCCAAAUUGUUGCUGGUGGCAUAUUAGUAUCAUCUGGUAUGUGUUUUCCUCUCUUUCGAUAUCUCAAGAUCAACACAAUGAGUACUAUUAUAAAUAUAGUACUCAAUGACAAGACAAUCCCUAGGAGAGGAUCCUUUUCCCUUGAUGUGUGGUGGAUUCUAGUUCUGCAUGGUGGAACUUGCAGAUUGGGUGUGCCACACAAUAAUUCAUUUCCUUCAAUGAUUCAACUAAGAAAUUUCUAAAAGGUCUAGGAAUCUUUCCUUCGAGCGUAUUGAAAGAAAGAUUUAAAUCUUUGAGAUCUAAAAGUUUUUCUAAUGGUAUAGGAAUAGCCCCAGAGAAAUUAUUAUUGGACAAAUCCAAGGAUUUCAAGCUUGUCAAAUCACCAAUGGAAUUACGAAGUGAGUCUUGCAAUCUAUUAUAUUCUAAAAAGAGAUAUUAUAGAUCAUUUACGUCACCAAUUGUAGUUGGAAAAACACAUGAGAAAUUAUUCGUCGACAAAUCUAUUCUUAACAAAACCUUCAAAUUAGACAUCUAAUUAAAUUAGAAAACAGAUAUUCCUAAUAAAUUAGAAUCUCACUAAAUUAGGGAAUUAAUAAAUUAAUCUCUAUUACAAGAUAUGCAAUAAAUAAACUUCAAAUUUAACUAGACUUGCCAUAAGAUGCUAACUCUAUAAUAAUUGACUUAACACAAAUCUUUGCUAAGCUUUUGAAUAAAAUCAUGACAUGUCAUUUAAGUUUUUUAGGCUUCGUUUGGUAUAUAUUUUCAAGCAAAGUCUAUUUAAGUAGAGCUUCUAUUAGUAGAAUUUUAAUAAGCAAAGCUUUUAUAAAAAAAGAUUGUGUUAUUUGGUCGUCAAUUAAAUGAUAUUUAAUAAUUAAAAACUCUACUCAAGAUGUAACCAAAUAAUAUUAAAAUUUCAUUAUUUAUAAUUUUUUAUUAAUAGAGCUAUUAAUUAAUGAAUAAAUGAUAUUUUAUAUCAUUUUAUUAAAAAAAGAAUGAACAGCAAGAUUGUAAGCACCGUGAAUAACUGUGUAAUCGGCCAAAUACCAUUGAAGAAAUUCGGAGCUCCACACGUGUCUCAGCCGCUCGCACGAGUGCGAGAAGAAUUUUCGGGCCGUGGAUCUCUCUUGUUACCAAGGAUGCUUCUCAGCAUAUCGUAGCCUGGGGACUCUCCUGGGCUUAAUUAAUGUAAUCAGCCCAUCCAGGUCACCUUACGAGGUUUGCGUUAGUGCAUAAAAUACUUUCGUUUUUAUCAAUCAUUUAUCAUUAGGAGCAAGAGGGGAAAAAGAAAAUUGGUUACCUUCUGUUGUCCUUGUGAAUGGUGUGCGUUCGUUUUUAUUAUAAUACACAUAAAAAUUUAUUUCUUCUAUAGGAACAAUGAGCAAAGGUAAAGUUAUCUAAUCAUGAUUGAUUGCUAACUAAAAAAUAUAUCUAUAUUUUACUAAUUUUAUUUCUUUAAUUUUUUAUCUCAAUAUAAAUAGUAAUAAUUAUUAUUUUUUAAAAUUUAAUAAUUUUAUUUCUUAAUUAAGUAAGGAUAAUUUUAGACACAAAUAUUUUUCACUCAAUCCCUUAGGUACUAAUACUUCUUAUUGAUCUCUGAAGUUGCUUUUACUUACUUAUUUAAACCAUAUAUGAAAUUUGAAGAAUGUCAAUCUCAUGAUAUUACAGAUUCUCCGUAGAUAUUCUUUGACAUCUAAUUUGAUUCGAUGGACAAAUUAUUAUUAACAAAUUAGUAGCUUCUCCUCAACAAAAUGAGUAUUGAUGAGCACUUCUCUUUCAGAGUCACUUAUGGAGAUUGAUCUUGAUGUGAAUUUCCUGUUAGGGAACCAUAAUCUCUAGAAGUGGUUCCGAAUAUAGAAUUUUCUUCUCUAGUACGAAGAGAUUCUGCAAUUCCGGGUCACUUGAGGACAUCGUUGUCGCCUUGCAAGCGGAAGAUUCUUCACUCAGUCCUAAGAACAGAAGCUGAAUCAACUCAGUCGGCUGAGUUAGGAUAGAAUAACAUUACUAGAAGAAAAUUGACCUAUAUUUUACCUUUUUAGUUCUUAAUCUCUUUCUUAACAUGGCAAUUAGGUCAAGAGGAAAAUGAUUUGAACAAUUUGAAGCUUCUUAUCUGAGGUUACCUAGGAAUAUUCCAUACUCAUGGGAAUUUGGCUCUUUUCAUUUCUCAGCACUAAGGAGUUUAAGCACAGUCAAUAAUGAAACCCAAUUGAGAAAUAUUAUCAUCUGUUGCCUAUGAUUUCAACUGGACCAAAAUGUUUGUUUUUCUUUUUAUCUUUUAAAAAAAAAAUGAUUUAGCGAUCAUGUCACUGGUUUUUUCAACAAGAUGAAUGAUUUCAUCUUCUCAUUUAUGAACAAUUCUUUCCAGCACUCUUUAGGAGACUCACGCUCAUUCACUAACCACUCACCAUGCUCAGAAUGCAAAAUGCGAAAUAGGAGUAAUAUAAUAAUUUACUUGUCUAAUUUCAACACAUUUUCAAACUAAUUAAUCCCACUACAAGAAAAAGUUAUUUAUGUGACCACUAUUUUGCAGUUACGUAUGGCCUAUAUGACAGCUAUGUAACGGCAGAGAGGGGUUACAUACGCGGCCAUUGCAAAAGCUUUGUAACCGUUGCAAAUGCUUUUUAACUGUACUUUUGGCGUGCAGUAACAAAAGGUAGUAACGGUCACCAAAAAAAAAACCACCUAAAUGCGGCCACAUUAAGUAAUGGGUUGGAUGCAAGUUUUGUGACAGGUGGAAGCUGUCACAAAUUUGUAAUGCUUAAUUAUUCAUAAUUUUGUGAUAUUUGACUAUUUGUCAAUAUUUUAUCUCAUUUUCCUGAUAUUUGUCAAUGACAACAAAAAUUCAACAUUGUUCAUUACAACAGUACAACACUAAAAUUAAUUAUCAUGAUACCAUCCAUAAAGUUCAAAUUAUAUACUGAAAAUGAGAGAUUAACAUCAAGCCGCAAGUCUCCAAGUCAAAAAUUAAAAGUAUACACAGAUGCAAAUACAAGCCUACGAUACAAAGUCUUACAAAAAAAAGAAAAAGUGUGAAUCCAGGGGUCUCCAAUGCAUCUUAUCAAACGAUAGCCUACAAUAGAAGCAACAAUAUAUUAAAAAUGUGCGAGACAAACACACUUAAAUAUCAUAAUUAUAUAACUAAGCACUUCUUGCUAGCAAUAAUUAGAAGCGCUCUGGUACAACUGUUAAUGUCUCUAUCCUUUGUUGAAACUCUUAGUUAAUUUGCAAAUCUAAUAUUCAUUUUCCAAAAAUAAUAUCAACAUUGAACAUAUGAAAAAUAAUGAAUCAUAAUUUUACAAGUAAAAGUAUUUAUCUAUAAAUAGACGUCAUAAUUUGCAGCAUAACUGCAUGACGGUGUUGAUGCGCAUUGGAAGCAUCGACUAUCUACUAAAAAAACAAACAUUUUGUUUUUCCUAAGAAACACAGAAGGAAAUGUAGUCUAUAGAUUGAUGAUGAAUAUGCAGCCAAUAUAUUUUACUAAAUUGUAAGAUGUAGGAAAUGUAGGGAAGGGCAUUAAGUUGCAAGGUUCAGUUCCAAGUUGGCAAUAAAAAUUGCUAUUAUGCUGCAACUUUUCUCAAUAUACUCCACACUUUUCACCCUAAAUUAUACAUUUAUUCUAAAAAAAAUUUUAAAAAUCAUUUUGAAUUUUAAGUAAAUAUUCACUAUAAUCUGAUGAUUGUUAAGUUCAACUUUAAUUAAUAUUUUACUAGAUAUUUGGAUCGAAAAUAAAAGCCUUCAUGUUGGCAUUGCCUUGUCCAGCCUUCACUCCUUUGACUAACCUUGAUUUAAACAUUAUUCAAUUCUCAUUUGAUUCUGAUUAGGUUAAGAUUAUAGAUCGUCUAGCAAAUGAGUAGUACAUUAAACAACUAAAAUCUUCAAAUAAAUGUCUAGGAUGGUCAAUCCAAAUACUAAGCUAUUAACUGCUAAUGUUUACAUUUUAGAGUUUUAAUUUUUUUUACUUUAGAAUUUAUUUGAUUUAGCUGUUACUUUUAAUUUUUAAAAUAUUUAAAAUAAAUAAGUAGACAAUGGUCAAAGGGUUUAGUAAUUGCGUACACGUAUUAGUGUUUUAUAUCCAUACCUAAUGCACCCAAUGAAUAGGUAUAAAAAUUUAUAUCCCUAUUCAAUUUUUUAUAAAAUAUAGAUAAAAUUAGACCUGACGCCUAAUUUUAACGUAACAGUCCCUUGUGCUUGUAGGGAUUUUUUGCCAUCCCUAUAUGGGACUAGAACAAAGCUAACACGCCUAUCUAAUGAGACUGGACCAUAAUUUUAUUUAAUAGAUCUUAGGCCUGGAUCAGUCUAGUUGCUUCCUUUUUGAUACCUUUGGCUGCUAUUUAGGUAGCAUUUACUUCUCAUAUUAGAGCAGGAAUUGUGAGAUUGAGAGUAAAAAUAGGUUGUUUACUUACAUUAAAAUGAGAGUAUAGAAUAGGAAUCAAAAUUCCAUUUAUGUGUUUAUUUGUUUUAGAUUAAGAGUCAAUUGUUUUAAAUUAUAAUUUUACCCUUAUUUAAAAAAUUGUAGAUUUUAGUUACAAGUGAAUGAAAAAUAUAUUUAUAAAAUAAAAUAUUUAUUUUAUUAUUAAUUUUAAUUAUAUAAAUUAAUAAUAAUUAUCAAUAUUCUUAAUUAUAUAAACCACAAUUUUUUAUUUAAUUUUAAUUUAAUUAAUUAAACUAAAAUUAUUGAUAAGGGCAACACAAAUGAAACAUCAUUAUUAAUAAUAUACUGCAAGGUUAAUAUUUUCUUAGAAUAAACUAUUUAUUAUUAUUAUUAUUAUUAUUAAUUAAUUAAUUAAUAUUAAAGAAAUAUAAUACUAUUAAAAUUAAAUAAAUAUAAUAAUAUUAUAUUUAAUAAGCCUAAUAUUAUUAUUUUUAAUAAAUGUAUUAUUAUUAAAUAAUAUAAUAAUAUUAUUUAAAUAGAUAUGAUAUUUUUACUUUUAAAUAAAUGUAACAUUAUUUUAUUUUAAUGAAUAUAAUUAUAUUAUAUUUUAUAAGAAAAGGGUGAAACAAGAAGAAGACCUCCUCAGGGUAGUGGAAUCCUCUUAAAUUUCUAGCCUUAACGACACCAUAUCAUCUCCUUGGUCACCACGGACAAAAUUUCUAUUGUGAGCGACGCCGUUUUGUUCUCCAUGCUCCCUACCCAAAAAUCCACAAGCGGUGACUUCAUUCAACUUUUCCCAGCCCACUGACAGUGACGAGCGUCACACCCACACACCGUAUUAGGAAAUAAUAAUAAUUAUAAAAUUUUGAUGAUGAUGAUUGAAAUUAACUACCAAUGUUGAAUUCACCGUUAAGACCCUGAGGGAAACAAAUUUCGCCAAAAGCGAUUUGUUUCAAAGAGAUUUAAUUUCAAACAACUUUGAUUCGACAGUUACUCUCAUUCACUUCUAAUACUGCUAAUAACUUAAAGCUAAAAUUUUUCUUCUUCAGUAGUUAGAUCUGAGCAGUGCAGGGUGCUAAUACAUGAGUAUUUGUACUACAAUUUUUAAAUUGAUUAAAACAAAUCGCUUCACUGAUCAGAAUAUCAUCGAUACCCCAAAAAAAAAAAAUAUUAAGAAUUUUUAGAAUUCACAUGACAAAAUAUGUGUAUAAUUGAUUUACGUGGGCUUUAUGAAUCAACCAUCGAAAAGCCCACAACCUGAUCCAACGACACCGAUUCUUCUCGGCCACUGAGCAUAAAUUUCCCAAGUUUCAUAGUGAACGACACCGUUUUGUUCUCCUUGCUCGCCACGCAAAAAACUGCCAAGGAGUCACUUCACUGAAGUGCAAAUGUCAGUUAUCUUCACAGUUCACACGUUUAUGAAUAAAUUGAAAAAAAAAUAGAGAAAUUAUCCUAAAGAAAAUAGAGAAAUCAUGUGCGCAAAACCUUGCAUCGACUAUUAUUGUAAUGUGCUACAUAGAUAUCAAUUUAAUCUUGGAGUAAUGAUCUUGUGGGUGAACACGGUUCUCACCUUACGGUGAGUAGUAGUGCCACAUGGCGAUGUCCGGUCUGCGUGUCCAGUGCUAAAUAAUCUAGAUAAUUUUUUAUUCUUAUUUUUAUUUGUCAUUAUUGGGUGCUUGUACAGCUGCUCUGGGUGUUGCUUUACCAGUGUACUCAACAUUCAAGGCAAUUGAGAGGAAAGAUGAAGAUGAGCAACAAAAGUGGCUCAUGUAUUAGGCAGGUUGGAAUUUAUUUUUAUUUUUAUAAUUUAUUAUUAUUAUUUUUUGUUAGGCUUGUCACCUUGCUUGUUUUGGUACAUGAGGUUUUCAUAGAUUCCCAAAUUUCCUCUGCAUCCAUUAUUUUUAGCCCAAGCGUUUUCCUGUUAGAUGCUUUGAUCAGUUGGCCAAAAAAAUUGAAUAUUACCUUUAUGGUUAUAGUUAUGCUGAGAUCUUGCAUGGGUGAAAAUAUAUAGCUCUAAUAUUCAUGAUGACCAUCAAUGAUGAAAGUAACAAAUGCGCAGAAAUGCUUAUCAUAUGUUAAUAAAUUUUGUAAUCAAUAAAAGGUAUGUUGAUAAAUUUUGUCAUUUGCAUUUGAAAGGCGUACUUGUGGUAGUUCAUUCCAAGUGGGUACGUAAGCCUUUCCAACUAGUUUGCACUGAGCCAAAAAAUACGCUUCCAUUUCUCUAAUUUGCUGAUCAUCAUCACCACCUCCAUCAAAGUCAUCAUCCGAUCUUGAUGAUCAUUCUCCUGCUCCUCCACUGCCUUCAUCUCCUUCCUCCACCUCAUUAUUCAUCGCCGCCGCAGCGUCCGUGUCCCGGAAUACUCCAGCCUGCUAAUGAUAAUUAAUAAUUCGUCAAGAACACAACACCCACAUCAACAAAAAUGAAAUAAACUACUAAAAAAUGACAUAGCAAAGCAAAUAACGAAAAAAAAUAUAAAACAAUAAAGUAUUUAGGAUUUUGGAGUUAUAGAAGGCUUAGAGAGAGCGCAGGAGAGGCAAAGAAGUCUUUGGUUCGACGAGUGGGUGGCUUGCUACACGUGGACUCCCCCAUAGCAAUGAGAAAAUCAGGUGUUGAUGCUGAAAUCUGGUCGUCCUUUGCCCGACCUGAUCGUUCCACCAACGUUUGUGUUGUCCACGAAGGGAAGGUUGCACUCUCCCUGCUCGAGCAAUUGCCCGUGUUCCUGGGACCCAAAUCACCCUUUCUCGCCUUUCCAAGCAUGCGUUCAUAGAAACAAGUCAGAGACGCCGGUGGUUUUACCGGCGUAAACCCUCCGAUACUUAAGUUAGAACAAGGUGUUUACGGGUAAAUUGUAUGAUUUAAACGAGUAAACUGAAUACAGUAUUCUCGGCACAAUCUGUAUCGAAGAUCUGUGUAAAGAUGAGUUCGGAUUUUAAUUUGGCAGAGUUUUCCCUUUUCUCUCAAUUUUUUCAUCCCCUUCUUCAUCGGUCUCUCAGCUUCUUAUAGCCAUCAUCCCACGUUUUCUGAGUAUUCUUCAUGCCCCCCAUUUUCGGGUGAUGGCAGACCCUCAUGGGCCUCCAACCACCGAAUCGUGGGUAAACGUGGGAUGUCGUGUUCUCCCCCAUGGUUCGGGGCAUGGCGAAACUGUCGUGAUUUCGUGAGAUCGUGUGCUCUUCCUUUAGGUGAUGAGCAUCUGGUCGGUACAUAUCUCGGGUCGGUGCUCGUUUCUAGUUGGCACAUGCCCGUACACGAUAUUUACCAGGACUCUGCUUGGGCCAUUCAACUGGGGAGAUUUGCCUCAGGGUGAGAGAUGAGGACAUAGCUGAGCUGGUACUUUUCAUUACUCAACACCAGGAAAAAAAAAAGUUGUCUUGAGAGGGUUGAUGAAAUGGUUCUUGUGAGCAAAAAUGGUGACAUGUUGAAGUCUAAAAGAAUGAAGUCAAUUAUCAAACAAAGCAGAAUGAAGUCUAAAAACACAUUAAAAGAAAAGGAAUUGAUGUGUUUGUGUGUGAGAGAGAAAAAGAGAGUGUAUGUAUUUGUUUGUUUUAUUGAGAAACGAAAUGAUGAAAAAGGGUGUUAGGAGUUGACUGUUAGAAAUUCUGUGUGAAAAUGUGAGGAUUCAAGUCUCUCAACCAACUUUUGAAGGAUAUAUUAAUUAACACUAGCUAAUUGAAAUUUGAAAGUAUUCAAAUUAGUGUCAAAAUUACAUAUCCACCAAUAUUGCAAUUUGCAAUACUCAACUGAAAAUAGUUUUAAAGGAAAAAAUAGCAUUAACAUAAAUUUUGUUCUCUAUAUAGGUAAAAAGAAAUAUAUUUCAAACUCCAUUAAUUUUAUAUGUAGAAAUAUGAUGAAGAUUAAAUUUUCAUCCAUUUGAUAAUUAAGAAUCUAUCUAACUAAUUAAUAAUACUUUUAACAAAUCAAUGGAUAGCAUAGUCAAUAAAAUCAAAAUUACACACUUGUUGAGUUGAUUGAUUAUUUUUUUCCAAAGUAAUUAACUCAAAAUCUUGAAAAUUUCUCUAUACCUAAUGAAGAAAUAUGGUAUCCAACCUAAUGAAGAAAUAUGGUAUCCAACAUUGCUAGGCGGCGGUUUUAGGCUUUAGAGAAGCUAAAAUUAUAGAAAUGAAAGUAUUUUUCUUGCCCAAAUUUUUACUCUCAUAAGAAACUUUUAUUCUAUUCACAUUUCAUAAAGGGAAGACAAUAAAUAAUUAAAUAAGGGAUUUAACCUCAGAAUAUUAUGUGGAAACUCAAACUGUUAUUCUCAUAAUUGUUUAUGAGGCCACUCUGCCUUUUGUCCGAGUGAUUGCAUUAAUGGCAUUAAAUUGCAUAGAACGUAGGAAAUUGACCCACCACCAUCUAUUAUAACAUCACAAAUAAAUAAAAGUAAUGAUGAAACUGAAAUUAAUUCGAUCUUUUAUCUUGUAGCUAUGCUUGGUAAUUUCCACCUGAUUCAUGAUCCCAAUUAGAAUGCCUGAAAUAAAUGCUUUCUUUUUCUUGAUUGUAUCAUCAUCACUUUUGUGAAAAAAUUUUUUUUAAAAAAAAAACAGGGAUGCUGGGUCAAUCGGUCUUUAAACAAUUCGAUUAGACACGUGUUUACUACAUUAUUUUUUAUUUUAUUCAUAAGUGAUUAUCCACUUACUACUCAUUUUUCACACAAGUUUAAAAAAGCACAAAUUUUUCUUUCUUUUUUCUGAUAAAAUUUCCCUUGAAGUUGACAUUAUUUUCACUUGUUUCAUUGUGGUCUAAACUCUAUUAGAAAUUUGUUGACGUCAGAAUUAUCAAAAUCAAAAUGAAAUUUUAUUUAAUUUUUAAUCAAAUAAUAACAAAAAGAUGCAUCACUGGUGAACAGCAACUAGUGUUGGUGGCAUGGUGUGGCAAGGCGCGGUGGUGUGAGGAAUGGGGGUGCUGAAUCUACUUGAUGCUGCGUUCAGUGAUGUCACGCAGUGGCAGGAUAACUUAUCGUGACUGAAGAUGGUAAUGAGUGAAAGACAAGAGAAGAGGCUACAAAAUUUAUUUGACUGAGAAGAGAAGGUAAUGAAUUUUUUUUUUUUUAGAGAAAGAAGAGAUGAGACUACAAUUUUUGUUGGAGACCAAGAAGAGGCUGACCAUUAGAAAAAGAAAAGAGAGUGAGAGAGAGAGAGAAGAAGCUGAAUUUGGUGCGAGGAAGUAAGAAGACUUGUUUCAUUUUGAAAUAGAUUGAAGAUAGGCUUUGCGCCUUGCUGCUGCUGAUGCUUUUUUUUUUUUUUUCGUUCUUCUUCUCUACUACUUUGCCUAAAUUCUUUUAAUUUUUUGGUUUUGUGAUUUGGUUAUUGGAUUGAGUUUGGGAUUAGGUUUGGGUUUUAAUUCUUUUAAUUAUUUUCAUUUUUAAUUUUGAUUAUUUUGUUUCAUUUAUUAUAAUUUUAUUUUUUAUUUAAUAUCUAAAUUGCAAAAAAUAAUCAAAGUCAUCUAAUAUUUUUGUCAUUUAGAUCGGUGAAAUAGUAAUUUUACAUUAAAAGAGCAAAACAAUCAGCAUAUUAAUAUUAUGUUAAAUUCUCUUAUGGCGUUUAGACAAUAGUAAAAUAAUAAUACAUUUUGUAAAUUUUGGAUGGAAUUUUAUAAAAAGAAAAAUUGUAUAUUUUUGAAAAAAUAUAAAAAAUAGGUGGCAUAUGGAAUUGCCCUUUUAUUUAUCAAGCACAUGCGUCAUGUCUUGUCUUUUGAAUUUAAUGUCUUCUUUUAUUUUUUUAUUACCCAAUUCAUUCAAAAUAAUCACAGUUAUGCCACUUUUCAAUUUAUAUAUUUUAGAAUAUUACCUUUAAAUUAGUAGAAUCAUCCGAUUUUUUAUUGGGAUUGGGAAUCUCGUCCUGAACCAUAUAGAGUUUAGUUCAGUAUAAAUUUUUUAAAAAUUGAUUUAAAAUUAGUUGAGAUUUAAUAUAAAAUUUUUCCCAAUUUAUAAUUUAGAAUAUCUGAAAAUCUCAAUCAAAAUCUUGAUUCCCUUGACUAUUGUUUUAAUUUUUAAUUAACUAAAUUAAAAAAAAAUCAUUUAUCUUAAAAUAAACAAAAAUGAUUGAUCCAAGCACGAAUCCAAACAAUUCACUACUUUGCAUUCACUUUUAGAGUUUAUUUAUUUAUUAUUUAUUUUUUUAACGACACUCAGUUUUAAAGUUUAAUUAAACUAAACAGAUGAAGAAGAAAAUAAAUUAGUUUGUUGAUUUACAUAUUAAAUUUAGAUAAUGAAUGGAUAAAAUGGGGACGUUGGUAUUUAGAAUCGCAACCUGCAAUAUAAAGUACGAAGUGUGUGUGAAUAACAAGCUUUACCAUUUCUCCUAUACAUACAUAUCUAUUAGGAUGAGUUGAGACUUGAAAUUUUUGUUUUUUCUUCUCUCUCAUAAAAUAACUUGUUUUUCAAUUUUUAAUCAGCUAUAUAUUAGAACCACGUUGGUCUUGGGAUUUGAACGAAUUAUCUUUAGUUCAAAUAAAAGAUAAAAAAAUUAACUUUUCAAACAAUAUAUAUAUAUAUAUACAUAUACAUAUACACGAUGAUUUUUCAUUUGUUCGUCGGCUUUUGCACCUUGCUGCCGAAGCAACGAAGGACAUGGGGCAAUUGCUGUAUACGAAAAUCACCCGCAUGAUUAACUAUGAGAAGGCCCAAUGACCAAGCCCAACAACAAAAGGACCAAAUGGAAGCCCAAUAUUGUUUCUACUCUUGACACACCAGACACAGCAAAUGGAAUCUUCCUCAAGCAAGACUUAUUAAAAACACAUUUAUUAAUUUUAUUUCUUUUACUUUCAAUAAAAAAAUGAUAACAAAAUAGCUAGGUUGAGAAAUAUGGUCAAGGAGUGUGCGCAAAUUAAAAAUAAUAAUUAUUUUCAUAAAUUUAUUAAUUGUAUUUUCUAAUUAAAAAAUGAUAAUUUUAUGUCUGUAUAAUAUAUAUGAGGUUAUACGUGGAACUGUAUGAAAGAUUAAACUUUUCAAGAUUAAAUUUGUUAAAAAACUGAAGUAACAAAAAUAAAUUAGUCCGAUCUAUUGACUUGACUAGGCUAGACUGCAAACAUUAGCAUGUGGGUUCAUAUUUUUUUUUCAAGUAAUUUUUUUUAAUCUCUACAGUUUGAGUAAACAGCAAUGUAAUUUAUACCACACAGGUAAAAAUAAUUUAAGAAAAUAAAUAAUAUGAAAUAUAAGAAAAUUAAUGAUAAAAUAUGAUUAUAUUGGUUUGAAUAAGAAAAAUAUUUUUGUAUAAGAAUUCCAAUCUUAUGCAAUUUAUACCACAGGAAGAAAAAUAUAUAAUUAAUUCAAUCCAACUUAUUUUGAUUAUUAUUAUUUUGAAUAUAUAAUUAUUAUUAUAUAGAUGUGGAAAAAUAUAUAAUUAAUAUUGCCAGUAUCGCAUACAGUUGCAAAGCUACAGCCUUGCAUCUUGAACAACCUUCGGAUAGUCUUGACUCUUGAAACCAAAUACUCUGCUACACUUGAGUGUAGCCAAUGAACCGUGGUCCUUAGCUAUAAUAUGAUCAUGUGAUGGAGUAUUGUUAGCCUAAAGGGCUACAUAUAAUGUAAUUUUGAUGAUAACAAACAUGUUUAUUAAACAAUUUAAUAAAUAUUGUAUUUCACAAUUUUCACUAGUUUUUGAAGGAUAAUAUUUAUGCAAGUGAAUCAAGUGAAAUUAAGCUCAAGACACUCAACAGACAACGGCGAAAUCAAGAAUAAAGUUUAGAGCUCAAACGGACAAAUUAGUGUGAUAAAUUCUUGUAAAGCCGGUAUGAUUUAAUUGAUGCAUGAUUUAGCAUUUGAGAAGCUCAAGAGAGUAAUUUAAUUAAAUACUUUUCAUAAACUAAAAGUUUUAUUUUUAUAAAGUAAAGUAUUUUGUGGAUUUGAGUAAUUUGGACUUAAAUGCUAAGUUUUGAAAUCUUUGAUUUUAAUAAGUAUUAUUAUUAAAUUUCAGAGUUGGACGUUUGUACAAACAUUUGAAAUGUUUUGGGCCAUACUAUAAUUUAUGAAUAUUUUGGACUAAAGUGGAAGUUUUGAGAACUUUGAAAAAUAUGGGUAUUAUGUUGAAAAGGACCUUUUUGCAAAAUAAUAAUAUCUUCGGGGCCAUAUAAUAAUUUCAAAAAGUUUGGGAAAGACAACUAUUUUUAGGAAAUUCUGAAAUUGGACCUAUUUGUAAAGUUUUAUGAUAUUUUGGACCGUAGUAUAAUUAUAGAGAGUAUUUGAAGGCUUGGUUAGUGAAAUCCUCAAGCCGGGUGAGCUUGGAGGCGUGGACGUAGGCGGGGAUAGCCGAACCACAUAAAAUCCUUGUGUUUGUUUUCUCUUCCCUUACUCUUUAAAUAUUGUGCUUGAUUGAAUUUAUUAUUUUUUGAUUUGAUUAAGGCAAUAGAUUAAAUUGUUGUACGAAUUGUAUUGCAUAAAUUUUAAAAUCUCAAUUCACCCCCCCUCUUGGGUUGCAUAACUUGCAUUUCAAGUAUCACAUAUGCAAUUUUUGUAACGGAUAGACAAGAUGAAUUUAAGUGAAGUGAAAGCAUAAAAAAAAACAUAACUACAUAAAUGAAUCCCUUCAUGAUAUGUUUAGAACAGAGUUUUAUACAAGGAGUCGGUAUAGUGUCGAGCUCUCAAAAGUUGUCUUUGGCUACCAUUUGGCAGCUAAAGACCUGGUACAAUCCGUUUAUUAACCGGUUGCACAUUAUUUUAAAUUUAAAAAAUUAAAUAAAAUAAUAUAUUAAUUUAGAAAUUAUAGAAAAAAUAUUAAUAGUAAAAAAUAAAUAGAAAAUAAAAGAAAGAUAUAAUGUUGUCAAAAUCAAGAAAAAAUUUAUAUAAUAAAUUAAAAAUGUUUGUUUCAUAUAUUAUAUGUGAUGUGUCAUAUUUAACAUCAAAAUUUUUUAGAUGUUUUGUUAUUUUUCUCAAGUUUGUUAUUCUAAAUAACCUCAAAAAGUUUUUUCUUCCCGUCCGUUUUAUGUUUGACGUCCUUAUUGCAUGUUUGACCCCCAUUCUUACAUCUUUCACAUGACAUGUUGCAUGUUGACAUAGUUUUCAUGUUUAACCUCAUAUAUUACAUGUUUGUUCUCACUUGUUAUGUGUUUCACGUGAAAUAAAGUCAAAAAAUGAAAAUUAUCCCACUAUUUUAUGUUUCACGUCCGCGUUGCAUGUUUGAUUUCCGUUAUUGCAUUUUUUAUGUGAACUGUUACAUGUUGACAUGGUUCUCAUGUUUAACUUUAUGUGUUGCAUGUUUGACCUCAUCUAUUGCAUGCUUUACGUGACCUUUUUACACGUAAAUUUCAUGUUGCAUGUUUGACCUCACUUAUUGUAUGUUUCACACGGAUUGUUGCAUGUCUUGAAUAAAGCCAAAAAAUAAAAAAUUUCUCACUCGUUUCAUGUUUCACGUUCGUAUACCUCCAUUGUUGCAUCUUUCACGUGAACUAUUGCAUGUUUCUCAUCUUUAACCUCAUCUAUUGCAUGUUUGACCUUUGGUGUUGCAAGUUUUACCUGACCUUUUUACAUGUAAAUUUCAUGUUGCAUUUUUUAUCUCACUUGUUACAUGUUUGAUCUCACUUGUCGUAUGUUUCAUGUGCAUUUUCACAUGUUUGAAUAAAGCCAGAAAUGAAAAUUUUCCCGACUGUUUCAUGUUUCACGUCUGUGUUACAUGUUUGAUCUUCGUGUUGCAUCUUUCACAUUAACUGUUGCAUGUUGAUGUCAUUCUCAUGUUUAACCCCAUCUGUUGCAUGUUUGACCCCAUAUGUUCCAUGUGACCCUCUUACAUGUAAAUUUCAUGUUGCAUGUUUGACCUCAUUUGUUGCAUGUUGCAUGUUUCACAUGGAUUGUUGCAUAUCUUGAAUAAAACCAAAAAAUGAAAAUUGUUCCAUCUGUUUCAUGUUUCAUGUUCGUGUUGCAUGUUUUACUUCCGUCGUUGCAUCUUUCAAGUGAAUUUUUGCAUGUUGAUGUGGUUCUCAUGUUUAACCUCAUCUAUUGCAUGUUUGACAUCAGAUAUUGCAUAUUUUACAUGACCUUUUUAAAUAUAAAUUUCAUGUUAUAUGUUUGACCUCACUUGUUGCAUGUUUCACUUGAAUUGUUCCAUAUCUUGAAUAAAGAGAAAAAUUGAAAAUGGGUGAGGAAGACAAAGUAACAGUGCAUAUAAUCACGAAGUUGGCUAGCCAACUUAUUUAACAAUUAAUGUAGCGGUUAACCACUUCCACUCCAGAGACACCCAACAAUGAAACAGUUAGCCAAUUGAUAUAACGUAGAAUUAAGCGGUUUAUCGCUUCCACUUCGGAAACACUCAAUAAUUAAGUGGUUAGUCAACUAAUUUAACAAGGAAUCAAGUGGUUAACUACUUGCGUUCAAGAAAAUAGCUAACAAUGAAACAGUUAGCCAAAUUGUUAAGCAAAGAAUUAAGCAGUUAGCUGCUUCCACUCCAAAAACAACUAAGUAUGAAACACUUACUCAACUUAUUUCACAACAAAUGAAGCGGUUAGCUAGUACAACGAAUGUUUGACGUUGAUAUUUCAUGUAUCACAUUGUCUAACACAUGUAUAUAUAUCAUGUUGCAUUUCAAAAUUUCUUGACAUUUCAAGUGAUAAUUUAUAAUCAAAAUUAUUUGUUUCAUCUUCUUUUUUAUUAUUAAUUAAGUUUAAUUAAGCCCCAUCUAUUAAGAAAAAAAAAUGAAAAUGUUGCCUAGUGUUAAAAUUAUUUGAUAAUUCAAGUGAUCAUUAUUACUCCAAGUAAUAAUUUAUCAUUUUAGUUAUUAUUUGUUUCAUUAUUUUGUAAUUUGUUUAAUUCUUCAAACGAAAAUAACUAUGAUGACAAUUUUAAAUUACCAAAUAACCUUCUUUUUUUUAGUGCAAUUGGUAAUUUGUAAAUUUUUUAUUUUAAAAAUCAAAUAAUACAUACAACACAUUAAUUAUUUUGGAUUAAUUUCAUCAGAGCUUGUAAAUGAAACCCAUAAACAAAGGCAUCUCAAACUUUGUAAUUACAAAAAAAAAAAAAAAAAAAAGCGUAAAGAAGAGAGUUGGCGGGUGCACGCCAUGCGCGAAUUAAUUUUCACCAUCAUCUUCCACCAUAUGUCGUGAGCAGUGGAGGCUUUCCCUCCCCAUUACCAUUACAAAAAAAGUGUCGAAAAAGGUGUCGACCUGUGUCACACCCCCAUCCAAGAAGUGAGCUAAAAAUUAUGAAACUCCAAAGCACUGUCUGAGCAUAGCACACAAACUACUUCCAGCAUCUCCAUUAACAAAAUAUUUGAAAAAAGCAAGGCAUGAGCUAUUAGCCCAUACACUUUUAAGCAUAAUGAUUCUAAUCACAUCUCAUUUAACCACGAGGCCAUGAAAACAUACUCAAAGAUUCCAAAAGAAAAUUGACAUUUAAACACAUAAGAAUCAAUCUUAUGAAUCCAUCAAUUUUGCAAUCAAGCGAAAAAAAUGUCAAUCUCUGAUCUAUAAGACCAAACUUCAAAGUCUAUAAUUUCAAUGAUCAAAUAACAAAUGAUGUACAAAUAAAAUUCAUGGAAAUCUAUAGAAACCUUUGGCAUUAUUUUAGACCAUGUAAUAAGUACAGGCCUUGUUCAAUAAUCCCUUUAAAUUAUUGGGUUGGUUCAAUUACCAUACAAAUUGGCAGAUAUAAUCUAGACAUGUAAAGCACCUAGAAUAUAACAUCUUAGCUCAAAUUUAGUUACAUUUAUUACUAUUUCUAUGACCCAAUACAGAGUUACAGAAAACUGGUUUAUUGGCAGGAAACACCAACAACCUAAGCUUCUGAUUUUCUUUAAAAAUUCAAUACUAUUCAGAAUAUUGUGAAAACUUCCAAAAUAUUAUUAGACACAACAUAUAAAAUUUUCAAGCCAUUUGGACAACUCCAUAAUUGGUUCUCACAGGAUUGAACUAAACAAAUCAAAACUGCCUUUUUAAUUCACACAAAAACAGCUGAGCUUUGGUGAUUUAUUAAAAUUAAAAUACUCAAUAUGUUGGGAUGAAAAUUCCCAGAACAUAAUUACACAUAUAACUUGAUAACAUAUUAAAAGUUCAAGACAUUCUGAUAUCAUUAAGCUAAUGUUUCAUAAGAUCAAACACAAGUGAAUAGUUCUGUCAAGGGGUUUACGGCUAAAGUGGUGGAGUUUGAAAAAUCAUAAAAAACAAAAGAGAACCAGAUGUUCAAUUACCAAGGAACUUUCAACAUUUAAAAUACAUUUAAAAUAGACUUAUCGAAGUUUAAUAUCUCAAAAUUUUAGCUCUUGUUGACACCAAUAGAUUAUUCGUUUAUAACACCAAACAUGGUACAUACACAGUUUUUGAUAAAUUCCAACAGCAACUGACCAAUUUGACAAAUCCAUUAAAAAUCAACUAUUAGUUCAAUUCAUUCCAAAAUGUCCAGACUUGAAAUAUACAAUCCGGCUUUUAUUACUCAAAAUUUGAAGCGAAUCUAGCAUCAUUUAAUCAUAUUUUGAAACAAUCAAAGUUCUGAUAACAGUCCAACAAUCUUUAAAUUUUCUGCAAAAUCAAUAAACUAUUUUUUAUCUUUUCAGUUCAAUAAUCAAUUUUCUAUCAAAAUUAGACAUGCAAAACCAACAACAACCUUACUUUUCAGUUUUGAGAUAACAAAACAUCAAUUGCACCAAGUUAACUACCUAAAUCACAAGCUUUAACUUCCUGGCCUCUUAAUAAAGCUUUCUGUCACCUUCGCAAGUAUUAACUUCAGUCCUCACAUUACCAAAAAGCCUACCCAAAAAAAAAAAAAAUGAUAAUCAAUCACACUUCCAUUAAACAAAGUCAUAAGAGCUUAUUUAAAAAUUGAGGCGUUUCACCUCUUAACGAAUAGCUCAACUCCAAACUUCCAAUCUAUAGCACUACAUAAUUGAAACAUACCACCACCGAUCAACAAAUAACCCAAAAAAUUGCUAAGACUUUCAAUUAAAAAUAAAAGCUGGUGAUUAUAUAGCAUCAAUAUAUAGAAUUAAAUCAUCAAGCAACAGUAUAUGAUGGUGAGUCUCUAGAAACAUCAAUAAAAAUUUCUAAAAAAAGGGCAAAAAACAGCUUAAAAAUGACAUAAUGAAUAUCAACACAUAUAAAAUAAGAUUGGUCAAAAAAAUAAAAAUAAAAGAAAAAAAGCUGAAUGGGGAAAUCUUUACCAAAUUAGUGAGCACCCAUCUUUAGGAUUCCGAACAAUGAUUGCAGAUCUCAAAACAAGCAAACAACACCAAAAACCAAACAAGAAAAAAAAUAGUAUAUCAAGAGAAAAAAAUUAACUUGUUUUGAGGGUUUUCGCUGGUGGCUUCAGGAAGCCCACGCGGCCACGAUUUCGGCCAAAGCUAGGAUGACGGCAGUGAAGGUUGAAGAACUGAUGGUAUAGUCAAUGGUGCGACAGAAAUAAUGGUGGGCGGUUGGAAACGCAGCAACAGACGUGAUACCAACUUUGCCUCUCCCUAGCUCUCGUAUACAAACCAAAUACUAGGGUAGAUGACUCCGAUUGGUUGAUUAGUGUGAGAGAGAAAAUGGAUUUGAUUUUAGGUAAUGAGCAAAGAAAUCAGAUGAUAGAAAUUAUGGAUUUCAAAGAGGGAAGAAAUUUAGGGAUUCCCCUUUUAAGAAAGCGAAGAAAUCAGAUUGGCGAGAGUGGGGCCGGGGCGGUUAAAUGGAUGAGAGAAAUUAUGGAUUUCAAAUGAAUGAGAAAUCUGAUGGUAUAAAAUGUUUAUUAAUAUAUACUUGAGAACCAACAUCUCAAGUUCAAUCGAACGGUUUGAUUUCAAUUUUCAAUAUGGUGUCCGGGCUUAGUGCCCGGCAUUGUAGCUUUAACCCUUAUACAACUGAUAAUAUAUAAGAACUUGUAUUGGUGAAUUUACAGACAUAAUAAAUUAGGUGUAAAAUCUAUAAUGUACUUCUAGUAAACGACAACUUUAUGGAGCAAUAAUCCUAGUUUUCUUUUCUAAUUUUAUGAGCAAGUAAAACUCGUUAUAUUUUGCUUCAUUAAAAAAGAAUAGUAAAUGGCUUGCCUAGCUUUGAGCAAAGUAUUUAGAUCAUUUGAUAUGUAAUAGGUGCCAUUUCUCAAUCUACCAGCUUUGAUAUUGACAAAAUGUAGUACACGCAUAAGCUGAUUAUAGUAAACAAUUUGGCAAGAGUUCUCUAUAGAAAAUUAAUGGGGACAAAUGACCUUAGAAAUUGAAUAAGAUGCUGCAAAUUGACCAAGUGACAAAUCCGUUCCCAUCCGAACCAUAGCUAAUUUAGAAUGAAUAUUUGAAAAUAAGAGAAGGCAGGACACAUGUGGGCACAGCAACCGAGGAAAGCAGACCUAGCGUUGGCAUGAAUUAAAAGUUAGAUAAUACUCUUACACACUAUUUUUGAAGGCAUUCAUGGCAAAGAUUAUAAUUCACUACCAGUGAAAGAAAAGAAAAUCAAUUUGAUUGUCUCAUACGUCUAGCUCUUCAACAUUUUAAAGCAACGAGCAUCUAAAUUUUAAGAAACCCAUUACAAUUUCCUUUGCAUUGAUUCUCUGCUUUGGUGAUUCUACAAUACACUCUAUAGCUAAAUUGAAGACAAAUGACACACGUUACUCUUUGGUCAUAAAAUGUUUGUCUUCCCAAGUUAGUAGAUUUGCAUCAACAACUGUCGUAACUGAAAUGAGUAGUGAAUCACUAACCCAAUACUUUAAUCUCAUUUUCUCCUGAAAAAAUUUCAUCUGUGAGUUCAGUGUAAUAUAUGUUCUUUUCUAAUUUUAUGCGCAACUAAGAAUAUCAUUUUAAAAGGAAUUGUAAAUAGUUUCCCUAGUUUGAGCAAAGUAUUUAGGUCAUCUGACAUAUAAUAAGGUCCAUUUCUCAAUCUACCAGCUUUGGUUUUCAUGAAAUGCGAUGUAUGCAUAAACUGAUGGGUAUAUAACUAAAUGCACUGAAAUUUUCAAUCCUUCUAAAUCCUACAAAAUAUUCAUAGUUUUUCACACAUGAAGCAAAAGAACAAUAAUUAAAUCACACUGACCUGAUUAUAACAAAUGAAAGUCUAGAUUUUCCCUAUAGAAAAAAUAUAAAUAUAAUUAAACCUAAACAAAUGGUAUAAAUCUCUAAGGAAAAUUAAAGGGACUCAAAUUGCACAAUAACAAAUCACCUUAGAAGUUGAAUAAGAUGCAGCAAACUGACCAAGUGUCAAAUCUGUUCCCUUCCGAAUCAUAGAUAAUUUGGAAUGAAGGAAUAUUUAAAAGUGAGAGAAGGUAGGAUACAAGCGGGCACAGCAACCAAGGAAAGCAGACCUAGCAUUGGCACAAAUUAAAAGUUAGACAAUACCCAUACACACAAUUAUUGGAGCUAUUCAUUGCAAAGAUUAUAAAUCAUUACCAGUGAAAGAAAAGAAAAUCAAUUUGAGUGUCACAUGCGUCUACCCUCAACAUUUUUAAGCAAUGAAUCUCUAAUUUGUAAGAGUCUUCUUACAAUUUCUUUUACAUUGAUUCUCUCCCAUGGUGAUUCUACUGUACACUUCAUAGCUAAAUUGAAGACAAAUGACACACAUUGUUCUUUAGUCAUAAAAUGUUUGUCCUCCUGACUUAAUAGAUUUGCAUCAACAACUUCCAUAACUGAAAUGGGUAGCAAGUCAUUAACCCAACGCUUUAAUGUCAUUUCUCCAGAAAAAAUUUCAUCUGUGGGUUUCUUCCGGGUAAAUGUUUCUAUUAACAUAAUUCCAAAGCUGUAAACAUCCCCAUUUGUAGAUACUCUUCCUUCUCUUCCGUACUCUAUGAAUUGCAACAGUUACAUAGUAAGAUAAUAUAAUUCAUAAUAGUAUGCGCAAAUGAAGAUCCAAAUAAAUAGAAAACAUAUCAGAAAGUAUUAAGGAAAUAAAAAAUAUUUAUUAUGUAACGAACCUGGUGCCAUAUAGCCUAUGGUGGCAAGUGUUUGUGUCUGAGUCAAAGAUUGAUCUUCUUUGAGUAAGGGCUUUGCCAUGCCAAAAUCACUCAAAUGAGCAACCAUAUUAUCAUCUAACAAUACAUUGCUGGGCUUUAAGUCACAGUGAAUUAUUGGGACUGAAUAACCAAAGUGCAGAUAUUCCAAAGCUGAUGCAACAUCUAUCAUUAUGUUCAAUCUUUGAAAAAUAUCCAAAAUGUUGGUGCUCGAAUACAAACACUUCUCCAGACUUCCAUGAGGCAUGUAUUCUAAUACCAACGCUUUAAAAUCAUCAUUUGAACAACUGCUAAUGAUUUUUAUAAGAUUUCGAUGGCGAAUACGUUUCAUCAUGUCACAUUCAAUAUCAAAACUCUUAAAUGCUUCUUUAUAUUGUAGGUUAAAAACCUUCACUGCAACCUCCGUCCCAUCCUGAAUUCUUGCCUUGUAAACAGAGCCAAUACCUCCUCUACCGAUUAGAUUGUUUGCACUAAAUUCGUUUGUAGCUUGAAAAAGUUCUAGGUAUGUAAACCUUCUCUGAUUUGCUACUGGUGGCAGAUUAGCAUCAUUUGGCAGUGACUUCCCUCUCUUUCGAUAUCUUAAGAUCAACAAAAUCACUACUAUCAUAAAUAUAGUACUCAAUGGCAAGACGAUCCCUAUGAGAAUAUCAUUCUUCCUUGAUUUGUGGUGGAUUCUAGUUCUGCAUGGUGGGACUUGCAGUUUGGGCAUACCACACAAUAAUUCAUUUCCCUUGAAUGAUUUCGCUGAGAAAUUUUUGAAAGGUCCCGCUCUAGGAAUCUCUCCUUCUAGCUUAUUGAAAGAAACAUUUAUAUAUUGGAGAUCUAAAAGUUUCUCUAAAGAUGUAGGAAUAGCUCCAGAGAGAUUAUUAUUGGAUAAAUCUAAGGAUUUCAAGUUUAUCAAACCACCAAUGGAAUCAGGAAUUAAGCCUUGUAAUCUAUUACAUUCUAAAAAGAGAUUUUGUAGAUCUUUUAGGCCUCCAAUUGUUGUUGGGAUAGCACCUGAAAAAUUAUUCAUCGACAAAUCUAUUUGUACCAAAACCUUCAAAUUUCCAAUCCCUAGUGGGAGUGAGCCAGUAAAAGAAUUUGAAGACAAGUUAAGGUACAAUAUGUACUUAAUGUUCCAUAAAGUUGAAGAAGUAGAAGUUAAUUGAUUGGAGCCCAAAUUGAGUUUCUUUAGAUAGGUGAGAUUGCCAAAGCAUGCAGGGAUGAACCCAGAAAGCAUAUUACCGCCCAAGUCCAACUGAAAUAGUGCAGCUAAACGACAAAGAUCAUUUGGGAUUGAUCCUUCCAAUUGAUUAUCUUCAAAACUCAAUAAUUGAAGCUUUUGUAAUUUACCGAGAGUAAUCGGAAUUGUUCCAUUUAAUUUGUUUCCACCUAAAUAAAUUGCUAUCAAGUUGGUCAAGUUGCUGAUCUCUUCAGGAAUGCCGCCACUAAUGUUGCAACUAACUAUCCAAAACUCUUCAAUAGAUUGAGAAAGAUUGCCUAUAGCCCUUGGAAGAAUGCCAUCUAGUAGAUUAUUAGACAAGCUAAAAUACUUUAAAUACUUGCAAUUUGACAACGAGGAUAGAAAGCUCAAUUCUGGAGUCGAAGAUGUCAAAUAGUUAUCAUUUAAUCCAAGCCACUUAAGGUUUCUUAAGUUGACAAAUGUGUUUGGAAUGAAACCGGAGAAGGAGUUUAUUUCCAACUCUAGUCCGGAGAGCUUAGAAGCAUUGAAAAUGAAAUUAGGAAUUGUGCCAUUAAAAUUAUUACCCCACAAGUGAAGCUCUUCAAGAUUUGGAAGUCGAACUUCUGCGCUUGAUGGAAGUCUUCCCGAGAGUGAGUUACUCUGAAGAUGAAGUGAUUUGAGUGUUGACACAUUGAAGAUUGUAGUUGGGACAACACCAACUAAUUUGUUAAAACUAAACGCCAUCCAUUCUAGAUUAUGGAGAUUACCGAUUUCAUGUGGUAUCUCACCUGUAUUUUGAAACAAAAAAUAAUUCAAAUUUAUUUUUAAUAAUAAAUUAUACACUUUUAUAUCAUGAAAUGAGUAUUUGUAAUUAAAAUUAGUAAAUAUGAGUUUAAGAUUAAUUAUUAUACAUAGAUAAAAUGUUAAUAAAUCAUUAAAUUUUAUUCUUAUUAAUUAAAUAUAAAUAUUAAUAAUUUCAGUAUUCAUGUCAUUAUUAAAUUAAAAAAAAACUACUCAUCUUAAUAUUAAUUUGAAUUACUAAUAUAAUAUUUGUAUGAACAUAAGAAUUUUUUUCAAACUAAAUUUUUACUUUAUUUUUCUAGGUGCUACUACAGUGAAUAUAUGAAUUGAUAUCAUGGUGGAAGAAUAUUGAUUUCAUGAUUUAAAAAACAAUUAAUCUAUUUUAGACUUUCCUUUACAAAAUAAAAACACUUUUUUUAUGCCUAAAUAAACGUCUGAACUUAACUGCCAUUAUCACAAACUGUUGCUUGUUUUUUACUUCUUCUUCCCUACUACUUAUUGUAUCACUAACUUUUGAACUUUUUGUAUAAACAUAAGCAAAGAAGAAACAUUGCCAAUUAAUUCUUAAUUCUUUUACAAACUUACGUCAUGGAAUUAGAUUAAAAUUGGAUGCGCUACUGUCAUGGUAUUCUGCAAUAACAACUGACAGAUGAAGUAGACAACAUCAAUUGAACACCAUUUCUAUUUGCAAUCUCUAAAAUUAAUUUAACUUUUCACACUUAUAGAUAUUUUCAAUCUUUCUAAUUCUCCAUCUGAUUUUGGACCCUAGAAAGACAAUUAAAAAAAAGAACAAAAAAAGAAAGUAAAGAAAAACAUAUAAUCUGCUUGAUAGAUUAUCAAAAUUUGUCGAGUGAUCACAAAAUAAAAGAAAAUGCAAUAGAAAGAGAAAGAGAAAAACUAACAAAGUGAAAGAAAUAGAAGGUUUAUGUUUGUUAGACGUUCGUUAAUCUUAGAGCCGUUAAGUCUUAGAUUUUUAAUUAGGCAAUGAAACGAUGUAUUUUAGUUUUAAUAAGGAAAGUCUAAAAUAAUUUAAAUCAUAGACUCACUAAAAUGCUUAAACAAAAUUGAUUUUCGAGCAAAUAAACACCUGCUAUUCUAGGAACAAGCGCACAGUGGUCCAGGUAAAAUACUCGGAGUGAUAACUAAAAAUAUGACAUAAAUAUAAAUCACACAUACCUUGGAGUCUGUUUUGGUAAAGAGAUAAAUACUUAAGCUUGGUCAAAUUGCCGAUUUCUUUUGGUAUGUCUCCCGAGAAGUCAUUGACCGACAAAUAUAAUUUUUGUAGAAGCUUGCACCUUGAUAAAGUCGAUGGGAUUUUGCCGUCAAAGCUGUUUUCGCUUAGAAAGAGGAUUUCCAGAAAAGGAAGGUUGUUGCAAAUAUUUGCCGGGAGUUCACCUGGGAGUUCACCAAAUAAUAUAUUAUAUUCAUUAUUCAAAACGAAUAUUAUCUAGUUAAGAAAACUUGCACAACAUGGAGGAAGGGAUUGGACCGGAGAGCUGGUUAUAGCUAAGAUAAAGUAUUUGAAGUGAAGAUGGAUUCCCAAGUUGAGAAGGAAUGAUGCCUGUUAAGAAAUACUUUGUUAGCGAUGGCAUCUCCAAUUAUAUAAAGAUAAGUAGAGAUUUCAUGGCAAAUAUUUUAUGCUAAUGUCAUAAAUGCAUAUUAUUAGCAAAGACUACCUGUCAAGUUAUUAACUGACAAAUCCAAAUUCGAUAGAGAAGAAAGAUUGAAGAUUGAUGAAGGAAUGGUUCCAGUUAAGAAAUUUUUUUGUAGCCAUAACUCCUCUAAAUCUGCAAGAUUCCCGAGCUCCUCUGGAAUUUCUCCUAAAAUCCAAGAGUAACAUAUGCGUUAACUAUUUUAACUUAUUAACCGGCACUCAAGAAGAAAAAAAGGAACUAAAAAAUGUUUUUGCCUGAAAAGAAAUUAAAAAAAGAACAAUUUAUCAAAACAUAAAUAAAUAAAGUUUUUGUCAAAUGACGAGACAAGCCGAACCAAACAUGCUCUAAGGCUAGGAUUUAAUCUAGUUUAGACUUUCCUUUCCAAAAUCAAAACGCUUGCUUUCAUGCCUAAAUAAACGUCUGAACUUAACCGCCAUUAUCACAAAUUGUUGCUUGUUUCUGACUUCUUCUUCUCUACUACUUAUUAUAUCACUAACUUUUAAACUUUUGCCAUAAACUUGAGCAAAGAAGAAACAUUGCAAAUUAAUUCUUAAUUCUUUUACGAAUUUAUGUCUUGGAAUUAGAUUAAAACUGGAUGUGUUAUUGUCAUUGGUAUUCUGCAAUAACAAUUGACAGAUGAAGUAGACAAUAUCAAUUGAACACAAUUUCUAUUUGCAAUCUCUGAAAAUAAUUUAACUUUUCACAUUUAUAUAUAUUGUUCCAUCUUUCAAAUUCUCCAUCUGAUUUUGGACCCUAGAAAGACAAUUAAAAAAAAGAACAAAAAAAGAAAGUAAAGAAAAACAUCUAAUCUGCUUGAUAGAUUAUCAAUAGUUGUUGAGUGAUCACAAAAUAGAAGAAAAUGCAAUAGAAAAGAGAAAGAGAAAAACUAACAAAGUAAAAGAAAUAGAAGGUUUGUGCUUGUUAGACGUUCGUUAAUUUUAGAGCCGUUAGUCUUAGAUUUUUAAUUAGGCAAUGAAACGAUGUGUUUUAAUUUUAAUAUGGAAAGUAAAAAAUAAUUAAAUCAUAGACUUAGAAAGGCAUAAACAACACGUGUCAUGAUCUUAUAAAAAAUUUAAGAAUGAUUAGAAUAGGAGAGGAUUGAAAUCCCUUUAUCUAUUAUAAUUCUCUGCUUAAAUACUAACAAAGAGGUUCAAAGUUACUGUCAACAUUUAUUAUAAGGUUUCCAAUUAAAAUGCUUAAACAAAAUUGAUUUUCAAGCAAAUAAACACCUGCUAUUCUAGGAACGAGCGCACGGUGGUUGAGGUAAGACAUUCAGAGUGAGAACUAAAAAAAUGACAUAAAUAUAAAUCAUACAUACCUUGGAGUUUGUUUUGGUCAAGAUAUAAAUACUUAAGCUUGGUCAAAUUGCCGAUUUCUUUUGGUAUGGCUCCCGAGAAGUCAUUGAUCGACAAAGAUAAUGUUUGUAGAUGUUUGCACCUUGAUAAAGUCGAUGGGAUUUUGCUCCCAAAGUAGUUUUUGUCUAGAAAGAGGAUUUCCAAAAAAGGAAGGUUGUUGCAAAUAUUUGCGGGGAGUUCACCUGGGAGUUCACCAAAUAAUAUAUUAUAUUGGAAAUGAAUAUUUUCUAGAAAAAAAGACUUAAAUAAGAUAAAGGAAGGGAUUGGACCGGAGAGCUGGUUAUAGCUAAGAUAAAGUUUUUGAAGUGAAGAUGGUUUCCCAAGUUGAGAAGGAAUGAUGCCUCUUAAGAAAUCAUUUGUUAGCGAUGGCAUCACCAACUAUAUAAAGAUAAACAGUGAUUUCAUCUCAAAUAUUUUAUGUUGAUGUCACAAAUGCAUAUUAUUAGCAAAGACUACCUGACAAGUUAUUAUAUGACAACUUCAAACUCGAUAGAGAAGAAAGAUUGAAGAUUGAUAUUCAAGAUAUUCUAACUUAUAAGAUUGAGCAUCACUGAUUAAGGUAAAAUAUCACACGAGUGGGUAUACCAUAAACUAUAAUAAGACGCACCUCGGAGUCUGUUAAACUGAAGAUCUAACUUUUCAAGCUUGGUCAAGUUACCGAUUUCCUUUGGAAUGGCUCCAGAGAAAUUAUUGAACUGCAAAACUAAGAUUCGCAAAUAGCUGCAAUUUGCUAGAUCGGAGGGUAUUUCGCCAUAAAACAUAUUUUUGGACAAAUAAAGUUCUUCCAGAAAAGGAAAAUUGUUGCAAAAAUUUGCAGGGAGUUCACCAGAUAGUCCAUUGACACUCAAAUCAAGAACUUGUAGACGAGGCAUUUUGAAUUUGAAAGAGGGAAAAGAACCAGAGAGUUGGUUAUCACUGAGAUCAAGCCAUUGCAGCUGAAAUAGAUUUCCAGCGUAAGGAAUGGUGCCUGUUUAAGAAAUUGUUUAUUAAUAGACUAUCUGCUAUAACAUAAUUUACAAAAUUUUGCAUAAUCUCAUAGAUUUCUAACAAUUAACAAGAUAAUGCUAAAUAGUGGACAUGACAUGACAUGUCCCCAUAAGAGAAUUUAUAAUAGGAGAUGUAAAAUUACAAAGAAGACACAUGUGCAUGUCGUUAGGGAAGUUACCUGUCAAGUUAUUAACUGACAAAUCCAAGAUCGAUAGAGAAGAAAGAUUGAAGAUUGAUGAAGGAAUGGUUCCAGUUAAGAAAUUAUUUUGUAGCCAUAACUCCUCUAAUUCUGCAAGAUUCCCGAGCUCCUCUGGAAUUUCUCCUAAAAAUCAUGAGUAACAUAUGCGUUAACUGUUUUAACUUAUUAACUGGUACUCAAAAAGAAAAAAAAGGAACUAAAAAAAAGUUUUUGCCUGAAGAGAGAUAAAAAACAAUUUACUCAAUAGAAUUAAAUAAUUAUAGGCUGACAGGAUUAAUAAAAGUGAGACAUUAUUAAUUUUCUUCAAUGAAUUAAACUCAUUGAUCAUACCUUGGAGUUGGUUCCCUCGAAGAUAUAACCCGAUAAGCUUUGUCACGUUGCCAAUUUCUUUUGGUAUGGUCCCAGAAAAAUCAUUAAGCGAUAAAGAUAUGUUUCGCAGCCGUUUGCAGUUUGAUAAAGUGAGUGGUAUCUUGCCAUGAAACAUGUUACUUUUAAGAAAUAGGGAUUCCAAAUUGGAAAGGUGAUUGCAAAAAUUUGGUGGGAGUUCGCCAAAUAGUGUAUUGUUUGUAAAACGAAUAGAAAGUAAAGAAGACAUGUUGAAGAUAGAGGCGGGAAUGGAACCCGAAAACCAAUUAAAACUGAGAUCAAGUGUUUGAAGAGACGAGAGAUUCCCAAGUUCAGAAGGGAUAGUGCCUGUGAGAUUUAACCCAGAUAUAUUCAAGGCUGUGACUCUAUGAGUACGGACAUCACAAGUGACGCCCGUCCAAUUACAGACAGAGCUACUUGUGUUCCAAUUUCUAGCCAAGAAAUUGGCUGGAUCCUCAGUUACAUGACCUUUCAGGGAAAGAAGGGCUUGUUGGUCUGUGGUAAUACUUGUAGUGUUGGCUGAUGCAAUCAUGAAGGAAAGAAUCAAGCAAUGGAAUAAGAGAAAUCUGAUCAUCAUCCGGGCAGAAGGAAUUUUUUCCAUGAGACUAGAAUAUUUAGAUUGUAAGUGUGUGCUUAAUUGGAUUGAUAAUGCAAGAACGCUCAUAGCUGCUUCCAAGUAUAUAUAAUGAAACCGAAAUUUCGAAGAAGCAGCAAGAAAAAAAAUAGAGGAGUGAAAAGACUAUACUCAUAACUUGUCGAAAGGUGCAAAAUUUUAUGUGGACCUGCUGCGUCAAGCCAAUCCUUCAGGUCGACACUCAGGAACACUAGAUAUUUCAUAAUCGUAAAUCGUAAUUAGUGAUUGUGGUGAGUUUUGUUUCCCUUUAUAAUCAUCCUAUUAAAUUAUUUCCUAUGAUUAGACUUCUAACCUCAUAACUUUUAUACAAAUUCCUAAUGAUGAAUUUCGUAAUCUCGUGAGUUUGGAGCAAAUAUGGUUAAAGGAUAUAAUAUUAAGUUUUAAUAUUUGCAGAUCCAAGAAAAGAUUAUUACUUUACUUAAAUAGAUAAAUUUACAAAGUUAAAUUCUUACAUUAUGUAGGAAGAGGAGUGGUUUUUUUAUUUUAAAAAAUCCUUUUUAAAUGUGAUUUCGAUAGUUUUAUCGCAAAAUAGUUCUACUCACUAAAAACAAAAAUUCUUCUCCAUAUUAGAGUAACUGGACAUAUAAUGCUCCUAGAAACUCAAAUUUUUAGAUAAGUUAAAAUUUAUAUUUCUAUAUUUUUUUUUCUGAAUUUGAGAUAAUUUACUAUUCGUGAAAAAAAUUAUACAAACCGGUGAUGUCACUCUCAUCAAAAUAUUGGUCGUCUGGUAAAAAUGUUCUUCGCGGGUCCACUCAGAAUCACUAGAUAUUUUCCUCUCUUCUUAUUAUGUGGAUCCAAUCAAAACUUUCCGCUUUUGGGAUUCAGCCAUUGGAUUUAAUGAAAAAGCUGUUCAAUGGCAAGAGCUUUGUUUAUUAGGUUUUUAAGAUUACCCUGUUAUUUGAUUAAAAAAAACUGUAAAAUAUGGUUUAGUUCUUAUAUUUUAAUUUAAGAGUUUAUUUAAUUUUUAUAUUUUGAAAAAUACUUCUCUUAUUAAAUAUGAGGUUCCAACCUUUAAUAUUUUCUUUUUAAUAAUAAUACCUUACAAUAACAAUCUUGGAGUUAUUAAUGAAAAAGGUUUAUUCAUCAAAUUAGCCUAAAGAAUUAAAAAUUAAUGUAAAUUUUUAUGCUAUUAUUUUAAAUUUUUAUAUACAAUUAUUAGUAAGAUUAUUGCAAUGAUAUUAAAUAUUACUUUCAGUUAGUUGAUAUUAAUUUUUUUAAAAUAUUUAUUUGUCAAAUUCUAGUUAAAGUACAAUAAAAUACUAUUUCUUUCAUACUGAUAUUUAUUGAUUAAUUUGGUAAUUAAUAAUUAGUUAACUUGCUAUUAAAUUUUUUUAGAUAAAUUAAUUAAUAUUAAGAAUAUUGUUGAUAGGGUAGCAUUAUAAAGGUAAAGAAAAAGUAAAGAUAAUAAUAUAAUAUAUUUAAUACUAAUAGUAUAUUGAAGUACUUUUUAAAAUAUAAGAAUUAAAUGAGUAUUUAAAUCAAAAUACAAAAAGUAAACAAGCAUUUACUUGAUAAAAAAUCACAAAAGUUGAAUGUUUCAAAAUCUUGACACCCAAGACUUAUCUAUUAAAAGAGGUCAUGAGAAUUAAAACUUAGAUGAAACAAUGCCGUAACGUUAUCACAGAGACGUGCUGAGAUUUUCCUAUUUUUAAAUUUAAAUUUGACACGCAUAAGAGAUAGCGAUGGUGAGAGUGGGACUGCUCACUUGGAAUUUAAAUUUAAUUGCACGGUCCCAUUCUCUCUCUGAUAUUUUUCGCAUUCUCUUUCAUGAAGAAUAAAUUAGCGGCCCAUUGAAUAGUGUUUAUGCGUGCUUUAUGGGUUAUAACAUUUUUGUCGAUCCUUGGAGAAUCCUUGAAAUGAAGACAAUCGGGUAAUGACUAAUUAAGUAUUUAUGAUGAAACCUAAAUUUCUCUCCACGUGAAAGAGAAAAAUCAGAAAAUAGAGGAGAGAAAUUAAAGCGAGAAAAGAUUCCUCUCCACGUGACAACAAACGUUGAAAUGUUUUUGCUCUUCGUUUGAUGCUUCGAGGAUUCACAGGUGCCGAUAAGUCCAACAAAAUUCCGCGGCUUGAAUAGUAUUUGUUAGUGGCACUCGUUUCUGAUCUUUUAACUUGAAUUAAAUUUUGUCGAUCUCGCUGCAAAAAUGAUCUUCCAAGAUGAAGAAAUCAGUGGCCCAUCCGUUAAUUGUGCGUGAUUUAUGGGUUAUAACAUUUUUGUCAAUAGUCAACCCAACUCAGAAAUUACGUGUUGCGAAGUCAAUGAAAGAGAAGACAGAAGUCAGUGAAAGCAAAGACAGCAAGACAUUGACUAAUCAUAAUAUGGUGGGACACUUAAGUAUCAUUUGGGAUUAAAGUAGAAAUUUAAUAAAUUUCUUAUUUCAUAAUUCUUUAUAAAAAUAAUAUUUAAUAAAUUUUGUAAAAAUUAUUUAUUUCAUAAUUUUUUUGUAUUUUACUACAGUUUUUAAAAACAAGUUGAGAUUUACUUUUCAAAAGUAACUUAAAAUAAGCCACCACAAUUUUUCAAAGUUUAUGUUAUAACAUUAAUAAUUUAACAAAAAAGAUAAUUAUGUUUUAUUUUUUCAUACACUUUAAUACAUAAGUUAUUAGUAUCAUAGUACCACCACAAUUUACUAUCGCAACUAAUUUGAGUUUUCUCCAGUAUCAAAAUUUUGAUUUAGUAAGUUCAUAUUUUUUUAUAUUUUAAUAUUAUUUUCUAUUAUAAAACUAAUGAGACUUAUACAUGAUUACACAAAUUUUUUUAAACAAUGAACAAGUUCAUGUGAAAUUUAAACAUAAGUCUUAAAAUCAAAUUCAUGACUAUAAUUUUUAACGUUCAAUCUAUUUAUAUUUUUUCUAUAGUCACGGUAUUCAUUGCAACAAGUUGAUUCUCUGCUUUUAAGAGUCUUGUUACAAUUUCCUUUGCAUUGAUUCUCUGCUUUGGUGAUUCCACAGUAACGCUCUAUAGCGAAAUUGAAGACAAAUGACAUGAACUUAGCAAUUUUGCACCAACAACUUCCAUAAUUGAAUUGGGUAGCAUAUCAUUAAUCCAAUGCUUUAAUGUCAUUUUUCCAUGAAAAAUUUCAUAUGUGGGUUUCUUCCCAAUGAAUGUUUCCAUUAUCAUUAUCCCAAAACUCUAAACAUCCCCAUUUGUGGAUGCCUAUCCUUCUCUUCCAUACUCUAUGGAUUUCAACAAUUACAUGGUAAAAUAAAAUAAUUAACAAUAACAUGCUCAAAUGAAGAUCGUAAAAAUAAAUAACAUAUCAUAAACUAUUAAAGAAAUAAAAAAUUUAAUGUAGAACAAACUCGGUGGUGGCAAGUGUUUGUGUUUGAGUCAAUGAUUGAUCUUCUCUGAGUAAGAGCUUUGCCAUGCCAAAAUCACUCAAAUGAGCAACCAUAUUAUUGUCUAGCAAAACAUUACUCGACUUUAAAUCACAAUGUAUUAUAGGUGCUGAAUGACCAAAGUAUAGGUAUACCACAACUGAUGCAACAUCUAUCAUUAUGUUUAAUCUUUGAAAAAUAUCCAAAAUGUAGUUGCUUGUAUACAAACACUUACCCAGAUUUCCAUGAGGCAUGUAUUCUAAUACCAAUGCCUUAAAAUCAUCAUUUGAACAACUUCUAAUGAUUUUGAUAAGGUUUUGAUGGUGAAUACUUUUCAUCAUAUUGCAUUCAACAUUAAGAUUCUUAAAUGCUCCUCCAUAUUGCAAGUUAAAAACCUUCACUACAACCUCCAUCCCAUCUUGAAUUCGUGUCUUGUAAAUAGAGUCAAAACCUCCUCUGCCGAUUAGAUUGUUUUAAUUAAAUCCAUUGUAUUAUUGAAUCCAUUUAUUGCCUUAAGGCUGUAUAUAUGUAUAUUUUUUAACUUUGCUUUGAACUCAUCUCGUGCCAUUGAGAUUUUGACUUUCUUCUGUUUAUUGCUACCAUUUUGAAAUUAAACAAUUGAUUCAAUUGAUCAACUUAUUAAUAAUCGAUCAACUUAAUUUUAUUUAAUUGAUCAACCUAGUUUUCUUUCAUUAACGUUUUAUAGCAUGAUUCAUUCGUGAUAUAUAUUUACAACAUUUUUUUUAUGUUUCCUUUGCUUCAAUUCACUCAUAAUAAAUCUUAAAAUCAUUAUCAACCAUCGUGAUUUAACUAUAAUAGUCUGAAAACAAUUUGAAAAAAAAUAUAACUCUAUGGAUAAUUCAAUUUUAAGGGUAUUAUCAGACAAAUCAUUGCACUAACAAUUUUGAUUGUUUGCUUGCAAAAGUAAAAUAUGCAUUUGUAUAACUGGUUUUGCAAUAAGAAAAAAUGUUAAAAGGUACCCCAAUUUUUUCUUUCAAGUUUCAAGUUAAUUAUAUGGUUGCUAAGUGAAUUAAGAAAGUAACCUCAUUGGCCUCUCUUAUAAUAUGGAUGUCUUUUGAAUUAUCUUAAUUUAGAAUUUAUUGACAUACACUAAUUGAUAAUUAACUUUUUUGUUCUCAUAAGUGAUCUUCUUCUUUAUGCUUCACCAAUGGUGACAACAUUUUAAAUCAAUGAGAUAUUCAUUAUAUUAGCAGAAAUUACGAGGGAUCUCAACGAGAAUAUUAGAAUAACCCCAAAAUAAUAAAAAGGAUGAUUGUGGCUUGAAGACUGGUUCUCGCCACAAGUUGGGCUGGUUUAUGCUCAAUCUACGGCCAUAACAUCCUAGAAAAAGUUGAAUAAAUAAUAUUUUGUGAGUUCUUGAUGGAGCGAGAGUAGCGGAAGCAAAACUGAUUGGGUAAGACAAAGCGGAAGUGGAAUUGAUAGGAUAGAAAACACUAAAUAUCAUUCUAAUACUUGACCAAGCCAACAUGAUUAGGUUACGCUUUAAUCGAAGCAUGAUUAGAUAUCAUUUUAAUCCAAACGACUCAAUAAGAUUUUUAAUAACGUUUAAAGUGAGAUUAUAUAACGUUUUAAUCCAAACAACUCUACAAGAGAUAUUUUGAUAGAUAAUUCCAGAGGAAAUUAUAAAAGAGGAAAUUUUAUUAAAUAAUUGAAUCUGAAGUUGUGAAAAUAAUAACAAGACCUCUAUAUUUAUAAUAGAGUAAACCCAUUUUCCUAAGUUAACUUAAAAAAAGGAAAACUAAAUCGUAAUUAUAAUGGAAAUAAAAUAUACUUUCUCUAAGUUAACUAAAUCUCAUGCCUUAAUUGACUCUAAUAAAAAUAGAAAGUUCUAAAAUAAUAAAAUACCAUAAUUGACUCUAAUUAAAAUAGAAAUCUUAGAAUAAUAAAAUUCUAGAAUCUUAAAAUUUCUAAAAUAACGUCCUACAUUAGUUCUAGUUGAUAUUGUUAAUUUUGCAGAAAAUAUUUUUUAAGAUAUUAAAAUCUUCAUAAAUAUUUUAUAGACCUUUCCUCAUUUAGGCCUUCUCGAAAAGCUAGAACUUACAAUCAAACUUUUGCCCCAUUAUAUAACAUAUGUUAGUAAAAUUCAUUUUUACAAAUGAUAAUUCUAUUCACCCCUUUCUUUAUAUUUUCUAAAAGAUCUAAAAUUUUACUCCCAUACUUACGGAAAAAUUCAAACCUUCCAAUGAUAGGCGAUGGUGAUGAUGAGAGAGAAAGAAAAAUAAAAUAAAAAUAAUUAAUAAUAUAAAAUUUUUUAAUUAUAGUAAUUUUAAAAAUAAACAUUUAAUACCCAUAGCUAAGACAUCCUUGAGUUGGGUUGGGACCCCAGGCAUGGUCAUAGCAGGUAUGAAACCUUUUCAAUUGUUCGGUUCCUUAGUUAGCUCCUCAAACUUCAGAAAGUAUACAUUUCCGAGGAGGUUUCUUCACCUAAAACCAAAUCAACUUAUUUGAGCUCAACAAAAGUUUGUAUCUCCCUCUAAGUAACAUAUAUUUAUAUGGUCUCAACAUACACCUAAUAUUGAAGUUCUUUUCAAAAGCAUCACUUCAUUCAAUGAAAAGCACAUUGGCCAUAGUAUUUGCCGUCUUUUACAAAGCGGGUACCAUCAAGAUCAACCACUACACCACUUUUUAUGCUACUUGAAAGAAGAUUAUAAAUAUUUUAGAGUUCCACAAACUCUAUAAUAUAGAAAUUUAAAUCAGUGCACUACACAUAAAUUUCGUACAGAACGAAGAUUCAAACAUCUCUAUAAACACAAACUCUCAAGAUGUUUUAGAGUUAAACAAAACUACCAUUUCAUGCCUAGAAAAAAUGUAACAAUUUUUCCCACCAGAGUGGUUAAUACUCAAUACGGAUUUGCUUCAAGUCACCGGAGAGGCUUUUAGAGCAAAUGCAACAAUUUUGGGUUCUAAAAUUUUGCUCUUUAAAGCGUUAUUUUGGCUUAGUGUUUCAAUUAUCAAGAAGAGGUACAAAGAUCAAUGGCUCCUACUAUCCUCGUUUUAGCUUAAUAUAUAUCUCUCAUUUUAAUAAAUAUGGUUGUUUCUUAAAAAUUUAAUUAAGAUCAUUGGCUUUGAGUUACUACUAUAGGAUUCCGAAAAUGAUCAGCAGCCUAUUUCUUCUUCAUCUUCAAAAUCACCCAACAAACCAAAGUUUGUUCAAAUUUAAAUGUCCCUGCUAUAUUAGUACUAACGUUUGUCUUAAAAUUUUGCUCGAUUAAUCCUUGACUUCAAAAGGAACAACGAUCUUUUCCUAUUCAUAGUUCCUUUUUUUUUUAACUCAUAUUUUAAUGAGUGGGUAAAAUUGAGUUUUAAAUUUUAAUGUUGAUAAUCAAGCCAGCUUUUUUUUUUAUUUACGAUUAAGCCAACUUUUUUUAAUUAGAUUUGAAAAAUUAGGAGAGUUUAGGAUAGAAAAAAAAAUUAAGAGAGAAUCCUAAUCUGUAAUACCCCACACCCGAUUAUUUUUGACCCUUCACCUAUAUAAAUUGAGCGCGAUUAAACGCUCGGAUAGUCGGAUUUUUUUUUUCGUCACGGGUCCGGUAUUAGCUUAAUUUGUAUUAAGCUUAAGUGGGAAAAAAAAAAAAGAAGAAAGAAGAGGAAGAAAAAGUCGGGUUUUAUAUAUGGAAAAAGGGGGGAAACUGUUUUUGAAGAGAAAUGAGAGAGAGAAGGCACGAGAGAGAGAGAGAGAGAAAGAGUUUGACCCGACAUUGACCCGGAUCCGACCGGAAACCCGCGACCUUGACACGAUUGUAUCUCCCGAUUCCGGCCACCUCACCGGCCGAGCUUGGUAUCGAUCUGAAGCUUGGAAGCCGACCGUUAUAUCCCAGCUGUCCUCGUCGCCGGAAACCGACCAGAACGCCGGCGAUUUGAGCUCGAAAACUCGCGGCCAAAACCCGUUUUCGCCGCCAUCGAUUUCGCCGGAGUUUGGGCACACUUCCAGCUGGGUUCUACUCCUCACGUCACCAGCAUCAUUUUCCGACCAACCUCGUCACCUGAAACGGCCGGAUUGCCGGCGAUCAACCACUUGGGAAGCUCGCGGUUUUGGAAGCUCGAUUUGCCGCCGUUGCCGCGCGUGGGAGGUCACCGCCGGCACCAUUGGACUCAUCGUGGCUUUAAAUUUCAGUUCUGAGCUUCACGUUGCUGUCGGAUGAAUUCCGGUGACCGUUGACCGGCAAGGGUAUUUUGGUAAUUUCACAGUCUAAGGGCAAUUUUGUAAUUUCAGAUUUUGUGGGUAUUUUGGUAAUUGCUGUAAUUGAGGAUAAAGUUGGUAAUUUAUGAUUUUGAGGUUAAUUUGGUAAUUUUGAUAUGAGGGUAUUUUGGUAAUAUUGAAUUCAAGGGCAAUUUGGUAAAUUCAUAAACUUGAGGGUGAAUCUGUAAUUUGUGGAAUCAAUGGAUAAUUUGGUAAUUUUAAGUUAGGGCAGUGAGGUAAUUUGAGAUUUCGAGGGUAAUUCGGUAACUUAAGUUGUUAAGGACAUUUUGGUAAAUUUACACUCCGAGGGUAAUUUCGUAAUUUUUGACAUUGUGGUUAUUUAUGUGAUCUGAAUUAAGGACAAUUUGGUAAUUGAAGAUUCUGAGGAUAAUUUGGUAAAAUAAUGAUGUUGGGGGCAUUUUGGUAAUUUUGGUAUGUAGGGGUAUUUCGGUAAUUUUGUGCAUGCGGGAAUAGUUUAUUUUUGAUAGAUAUUCGUUUCGAGAUUUAUUAUAUAAAAUUGGUUGUAUUUCAAAGUUACGGAGAAUGAUUAUGGCGUUUCCUUGAUUAGGAGGAUUCGCGAACGAGAAUUUAACUCGCGGACGUUGUCGACACCGAGUCUGGACAUUGUCACUGUGAGUGGAAUAUACAAAACCUAUUUUCAAAGUACAUGAUGAUUUUAUGAUACAGUGCAGUAUGUUUUGAUAAAUAAGUGUUUAAUGCUUCGAUUUAAUGAUUUUCUAGAAAAUUGAUUUUUAUUUAUGUGUUGAUAUUUAUUGUUAUUGAGAAUGAGUUUGAUUAAUGAUUUUACUAUCGAUUUUGAGUAAAUGCAUGAGAUUAGAAUUGAGCAGAUUUGAGAUAUGUUGAAUAGAAAGAAAAUGAGAUUUCAGAUGUGAUUAUAUGUUUAUGUACAUGUGUAUAAAUGUUGUUUUUGAAAUCAUUAGACAGUACCCUUCCCUCCAGAUACAGAGAUACAGAUAUGAGAUACAUAUCAGUUAUUGAGAUACAGUGAUACAGAUAUGGGAUACAGAUCAGUUAUUGAGAUACAGAGAUACAAUGAUACAGAUAUGGGAUACAGAUCAGUUAUUGAGAUACAGAGAUACAGUGAUACAGAUAUGAGAAACAGACAGUUGAGAUACAUGCCUUUGGGGCCCGUCUGAGUACACACAGAGGCUUUGGGCCGUGUACUUGGGCGCUUUUGUCCUUUGGGGACUAGAUUAUGCAUGCAUAGAUAUGAUGAGAUAUGAGAUAGUAUUUCCCUAUCUAUCCGUGUAGCUCCGGGGCGUGACGUUACCCAGAUAGUGCGUCAUUGCCCGUCCGUUGAGGUCCGGAUAUGAUAAGUUUUUUUCCCAUCUAUCCGUUGUAGCUCCGGAGCAUGAUGGUUCCCUGAUUGCCCGUCCGUCGAGGUCCGGAUAUGAUAAGAUUAGUCCCCUGGGUACUUGUUUGAUGAUAGUUUUUGGUAUUCAGUAUUUGAUAUGAUAAGUAUUAUGAUUCCAUCGAUUUUAUGCAGAUUUAUGUAAUAUAGUAUUUCAGUGAUUGAUUUGACUUAAAUAAGUUUAUGUAAGUUCUUAUGAUAUUUUGAUGAAAUUGAUUUGAGAAAUUGAUUUGAGAAAGAUUGAAUCAUUUUAAAUAGAUUUAUUUAUUUGUCAAAAAUUACUAUCCACUCACUGAGCUCACUGAGUUUUAUACUCAUCCCGUUUUUAUUAUAUUUCCCCCCACCCACAGGAGAUUUGCUGGUACAUCAGUCGACCCAAUAACGAUAGUUAGAUUUGAAAUUGUGGCCAUGUGAUGGUGACAGGAUGUCGUAGAUUUAAUUAUUUUGAUAUUUGGGAUAUUGCGAAUUGUAUUUAUUUAUUAUAUUUUGUAAUUAAGGAUAAUCAUUGUAUUUUAACAUUAGAAUGAUUUUGGGUGGUAUUUGGUAUGUUGGCUUGAGAAGUCGGUUGUGGAGGAUGGAUGAAUAUUGAAUUAUUUUGGGAGUAUUGUUUUAUAAAUUGCAGGUUGAGAAUGUUUUAUUUAUAAGGGAGAUUCUACCGAAAUUUUUAUAGUAUUAUUAGAUUUCAUAAAUAGUAUUGAUUCGAUUUUACGAGUUUAGAUAGACUCGCCCUGGGGGAGUGCGGGGCGGGUCGUUUCAUAAUCCAACUUGGAGACUCAUGUUCAUAAUUGUAGAGAUUGUUCUGCUGCCUUCCACGUAGAAAAAUAUUUACUUGGAUUGAGGCUAAGGAUUUUUUUUCUUCUUAAAAUAUCUUUUAUUUAUUUAUUUUUUAAUCAUAAGUUUGUGAGCAACAUCUAUAAAUCACAUUGGUGUUGGUGUUUGAACAAGUCAUCUUUAGUUUAAAAUUAUAAUAUGAACCGAUAUCUAAAGGUCCGGCUUCUAAAUUAAAUAAAAGUUUAUUCAUAAUUAACCCCCGGCGAUGCCCAAAAACUCUAUGAACAAAUUAUUAUACAAGCAAGUUACUGCAUAAUUAUAUUUCUUAUUCGUGGAUAGCACUUGUAAUAAUUCAACUUGAUUUUCUUUCAAUGACGAUUAUAGCAUGAUUCAGUCAUUCUAUUCACGAUAAAUUUUUAUUUUUUUCGUGUCCUUUUGCACCUUGGCAUCAAAGCACAAAGUACAAGGGGCAAUUGUUCGAUAUGAUCUUCAUCACCGGCAUGGUUAACAGUAACAUGGCCCAAUAAGCAAGCCCAAGUGCAAAAGGACCAAAGGGCAGCCCAAUAUUGUUUCCGCUCUUGACAUCCAGGAAAUCAAGCAAGACUCAAUAAAAACACAUUUAUUAAAUAUUAUUUUUUAUUUUAAUUUCUCAAAAGAAUUGAUAACAAAUAGCUAGGUUGAGGAGUAUAUGUGAAUUACAAAAAAUCAUAAUAAUAAUUAUCUUCGUAAAUUUACUGAUAACAUUUUCUAAUUGAAUAAGGGUAUUUUCUAAUUGCUAUUCGGCUUGCACAAUUAUCUUCAACACUUUGUAGGCUUGGUUGCUUGGUCGUUUUGAUUUGUAGACUUGUAAUGGAUUCAGAGAUUUUUGUUCUUUGAAUAGUGGGGUGUUCCUUUCGGGGAAAAAAGGAAAAAAAGAAAAAAAGAAAAAUAGAGCGAUGUUGGCUAAGCAACGUUGGUGAUUGGUCUUUGAACAUUCUUUGGUAGUUCGGGUGCUGAAAGCUCGAUACUUUAAACACAGUUCUUUUCUUACCGCAAAGCAUGGUCAUAACCCUUAUCUUAUAUCUGGUGAAGUCUUCUAUGGGGGCAUGGCGUUCUUGAACGAGGUAUUUGGUGACAUAUUAAGUGUGGGUCACGCAACUCACAAGUGGAUGUCUAUCACGGCAAUUGGAUUCCACUGCUCAAAUAUUUUCGCGCAGUCUCUAGUGCUUCGUUUUGAUACAAAAGUGUCUCCUUGUGCUGAUGGAUAGUAAUCGUAGGAAUAAUGCUUUGUUGCGGAGUAUUUUGUGCCGAUGGAUGUUGAAUCCAUUUUUUGAAUUCAUUUGCCUAGUACUCCAACGGCUAAUGAGGUGUUACGACAUUUUGCGAAGGAUGGCAUUUAUACUGUUAAAUAAGGUGUCUUAUGUCUUUGGCUUGGGAGAAUAUGGAUGUUGCGAAAAGUUCUAGUAGUUCUUCAAGGGAUGGGAAUAAGAUCUGGCAUUUAAAUGUUGUUUGGAAGGCCAAAUUCUUUUUGUGGCAGGGUUACAUAGUUCUGUUUCAUUUAGUUAACGGCUAUUUGAAUUGAAGAAAGGAUUUGAUGAAUACAAACAUAGGACAGUGCAGAGAUCGAAACCAAACUUUAUGUUAGUGUAAGGUGCCCAAAAUCUUUUGCAUCGCUGCACUGCUUAAUUCAAAAUGUUCUUACAAAUGCCUUUGGCGAUCGGUCACAAUUUAAUAUAUUACCCAAUGGUGUUAUGUGUCAAACUCCAUUUUGAGAUUUUUGUGUUGAACUAUUCUUCUGUGGAUAUUUGGCAAAUGGUUUUGAAGGUUUUUGACACUUUUGGAGGACUGAUCUUGAAUUCUUAUGUCAAUUAUCAUGCUUUAUAUGGGUUGAGUGGUUCUAUAGGAAUAGAUAUCAAUUGUCACACACACACACGCACACACACAAAUACACGCACACGCUUAUGUUUGCAAUGUUGUAAAUAUUUUACAACACUGAUUUUAUGUCAUAACAAAGUUAAGUUUAUAGUUUAAUCACUACGGCUUCCAUCAAAACAAAAUCCUGAAUCUGCUGCUGACUAAGAAUGCUCGAGACUUUUUUUAUUAAAUGAGGUCCUGGGGAUAAAAUCUUAGGUGAAACAAUCCCACAGGACCCGCACCGUCAUCAUAUAGAUGUGGUGAGAUUUUCUGAUUUUCAAAUUUAAAUUUGACAAACAUGAGAGACAAUGAUGGUGGGACUGAAAAUUUAAAUUUAAUUGGACGGUGCCAUCCCUCUCUCAUGUUUGUGAAAAUUUAAUUAAUUAAAUAGUUUAACAUAAGUUUUUUUCAACAGCAAGACAAUGUUUGUUUUAAUGUAAAGUCAGUGUAUUACGUCAAAGCGAGAAAGGAUUUGCUAUUGGUUUAAUAAUAUGGUUUGACACUUAGCUGAUUUAUUAUUGUGAUAAUUGUCUUAUUUUUCUUAGUUACUUUGCGAAUGUGAUUAAACCGAUUAAAUUGGUUCUAUUUAAUUUAGUUUAGCAUAUACAUAAAUGUAUCCCUAUAGCAAUCUCUACUGAUAAUACACUCGUAGAUUGAUCGGUCAAACUCUCGCAAAUUUGUUAAAAAACUGAAGUAACAAAAAUAAAUUAGUCCGAUCUAUUGACUUGACAGGGCUGGAAUGCAAACAUUAGCAUGGGGGUUCAUAUUUUUUUUUCCAGUAAAUUUUUUUAAUCUCUACAGUUUGAGUAAAUAACAAUGCAAUUUAUACCACACAGGUAAAAAUAAGAGUAAAUAACAAUGCAAUUUAUACCACACAGGUAAAAAUAAUUUAAGAAAAUUAAUAAUAUGAAAUAUAAGAAAAUUAAUGAUAAAAUAUGGUUAUAUUGGUUUGAAUAAGAAAAAUAUUUUCGUAUAAGAAUUCCAAUCUUAUGCAAUUUAUACCGCAGGAGGAAAAAUAUAUAAUUAAUUCAAUCCAACUUAUUCUGAUUAUUAUUAUUAUUUUGAAUAUAUAAUAAUUAUUAUUAUAUAGAUGUGGAAAAAUAUAUAAUUAAUAUUGCCAGUGUCGCAUACAGUUGCAAAGCUACAGCCUUGCAUCUUGAACAACCUUCGGAUAGUCUUGACUCUUGAAUCCAAAUACUCCGCUACACUUGAGUGUAGCCAAUGAACCGUGGUCCUUCCUUAGCUAUAAUAUGCAAGUUUUGUAACGGAUAGACAAGAUGAAUUUAAGUGAAGUGAAAGCAUAAAAAAAACAUAACUACAUAAAUGAAUCCCUUCAUGAUAUGUUUAGAACAGAGUUUUAUACAAGGAGCCGGUAUAGUGUCGAGCUCUCAAAAGCUGUCUUUGGCUAUCAUUUGGCAGCUAAAGACCCGGUACAGUCCGUUUAUUAACCGGUUGCACAUUAUUUUAAAUUUAAAAAAUUAAAUAAAAUAAUAUAUUAAUUUAGAAAUUAUAGAAAAAAUAUUAAUAGUAAAAAAUAAAUAGAAAAUAAAAGAAAGAUAUAAUGUUGUCAAAAUCAAGAAAAAAUUUAUAUAAUAAAUUAAAAAUGUUUGUUUCAUAUAUUAUAUGUGAUGUGUCAUAUUUAACAUCAAAAUUUUCUACAUGUUUUGUUAUUUUUCUCAACUUUGUUAUUCUAAAUAACCCAAAAAGUUUUUUUUCCCGCCCGUUUUAUGUUUGACGUCCUUAUUGCAUGUUUGACCCCCGUUCUUACAUCUUUCAUGUGACUUGUUGCAUGUUGACAUGGUUUUCAUGUUUAACCUCAUAUAUUACAUGUUUCUCCGCACUUGUUACAUGUUUCACGUGGAUUGUUGCAUGUCUUAAAUAAAGCCAAAAAAUGAAAAUUAUCCCACGUAUUUUAUGUUUCACGCCUGCGUUGCAUGUUUGAUCUCCGUUAUUGCAUCUUUUAUGUGAACUGUUACACGUUGACGUGGUUCUCAUGUUUAACUUUAUGCGUUGCAUGUUUGACCUUAACUGUUGCAUGUUUUACGUGACCUUUUUACACGUAAAAAAUUUCCCACUCGUUUCACGUUUCACGUUCGUAUAUCUCCAUUGUUGCAUCUUUCACGUGAACUAUUGCAUGUUUCUCAUCUUUAACCUCAUCUGUUUCAUGUUUGACCUUUGGUGUUGCAAGUUUUACUUGACCUUUUUACAUGUAAAUUUCAUAUUGCAUGUUCAUGUGGAUUUUCGCAUGUUUGAAUAAAGCCAGAAAUGAAAAUUUUCUCGGCUGUUUCAUGUUUCACGUUUGUGUUACAUGUUUGAUCUUCGUGUUGCAUCUUUCACAUUAACUGUUGCAUGUUGAUGUCGUUCUCAUGUUUAACCCCAUCUGUUGCAUGUUUGACCCCAUACGUUCCAUGUUUCAUGUGACCCUCUUACAUGUAAAUUUCAUGUUGCAUGUUUGAUCUCAUUUGUUGCAUGUUUCACAUGGAUUGUUGCAUAUCUUGAAUAAAGCCAAAAAAUGAAAAUUGUUCCACUCGUUUCAUGUUUCACGUUCAUGUUGCAUGUUUGACUUCCGUCUUUGCAUCUUUCAAGUGAAUUUUUGCAUGUUGAUGUGGUUCUCAUGUUUAACCUCAUCUAUUGCAUGUUUGACAUCAGAUAUUGCAUAUUUUACAUGACCUUUUUAAAUAUAAAUUUCAUGUUAUAUGUUUGACCUCACUUGUUGCCUGUUUUACUUGAAUUGUUCCAUGUCUUGAAUAAAGAGAAAAAUUGAGAAUAGGUGAGGAAGACAAAGUAACAGUGCAUAUAAUCACUAAGUUGGCUAGCCAACUUAUUUAACAAUGAAUCUAGCGGUUAACCACUUCCACUUCAGAGACACCCAACAAUGAAACAGUUAGCCAAUUGAUUUAACGAAGAAUUAAGCGGUUUAUUGAUUCCACUCCUGAAACACUCAACAAUUAAGUGGUUAGUCGACUAAUUUAACAAGGAAUCAAGUGGUUAACUGCUUGCGUUCAAGAAAAUAGCUAACAAUGAAACAGUUAGCCAAAUUGUUAAGCAAAGAAUUAAGCAGUUAGCUGCUUCCACUCCAAAAACAACUAAGUAUGAAACAGUUACUCAGCUUAUUUCACAACAAAUGAAACGGUUAACUAGUACAAUGAAUGUUUGAUGUUGAUAUUUCAUGUAUCACAUUGUCUAACACAUGUAUAAAUAUCAUGUUGCAUUUCAAAAUUUCUUGACAUUUCAAGUGAUAAUUUAUAAUCAAAAUUAUUUGUUUCAUAUUCUUUUUUAUUAUUAAUUAAUUAAGUUUAAUUAAGCCCCAUCUAUUAAGAAAAAAAUAAAUGAAAAUGUUGCUUUAGUGUUAAAAUUAUUUGAUAAUUUAAGUGAUCAUUAUCACUCCAAGUAAUAAUUUAUCAUUUUAGUUAUUAUUUGUUUCAUUAUUUUGUAAUUUGUUUAAUUCUUCAAACGAAAAUAACUAUGAUGACAAUUUUAAAUUACCAAAUAACCUUCUUUUUUUUAGUGCAAUUGGUAAUUUGUAAAUUUUUUAUUUUAAAAAUCAAAUAAUACAUACAACACAUUAAUUAUUUUGGAUUAAUUUCAUCAGAGCUUGUAAAUGAAACCCAUAAACAAAGGCAUCUCAAACUUUGUAAUUACAAAAAAAAAAAAAAAAAAAAGCGUAAAGAAGAGAGUUGGCGGGUGCACGCCAUGCGCGAAUUAAUUUUCACCAUCAUCUUCCACCAUAUGUCGUGAGCAGUGGAGGCUUUCCCUCCCCAUUACCAUUACAAAAAAAGUGUCGAAAAAGGUGUCGACCUGUGUCACACCCCCAUCCAAGAAGUGAGCUAAAAAUUAUGAAACUCCAAAGCACUGUCUGAGCAUAGCACACAAACUACUUCCAGCAUCUCCAUUAACAAAAUAUUUGAAAAAAGCAAGGCAUGAGCUAUUAGCCCAUACACUUUUAAGCAUAAUGAUUCUAAUCACAUCUCAUUUAACCACGAGGCCAUGAAAACAUACUCAAAGAUUCCAAAAGAAAAUUGACAUUUAAACACAUAAGAAUCAAUCUUAUGAAUCCAUCAAUUUUGCAAUCAAGCGAAAAAAAUGUCAAUCUCUGAUCUAUAAGACCAAACUUCAAAGUCUAUAAUUUCAAUGAUCAAAUAACAAAUGAUGUACAAAUAAAAUUCAUGGAAAUCUAUAGAAACCUUUGGCAUUAUUUUAGACCAUGUAAUAAGUACAGGCCUUGUUCAAUAAUCCCUUUAAAUUAUUGGGUUGGUUCAAUUACCAUACAAAUUGGCAGAUAUAAUCUAGACAUGUAAAGCACCUAGAAUAUAACAUCUUAGCUCAAAUUUAGUUACAUUUAUUACUAUUUCUAUGACCCAAUACAGAGUUACAGAAAACUGCUUUAUUGACAGGAAACGCCAACAACCUAAGCUUCUGAUUUUCUUUAAAAAUUCAAUACUAUUCAGAAUAUUGUGAAAACUUCCAAAAUAUUAUUAGACACAACAUAUAAAAUUUUCAAGCCAUUUGGACAACUCCAUAAUUGGUUCUCACAGGAUUGGACUAAACAAAUCAAAACUGCCUUUUUAAUUCACACAAAAACAGCUGAGCUUUGGUGAUUUAUUAAAAUUAAAAUACUCAAUAUGUUGGGAUGAAAAUUCCCAGAACAUAAUUACACAUAUAACUUGAUAACAUAUUAAAAGUUCAAGACAUUCUGAUAUCAUUAAGCUAAUGUUUCAUAAGAUCAAACACAAGUGAAUAGUUCUGUCAAGGGGUUUACGGCUAAAGUGGUGGAGUUUGAAAAAUCAUAAAAAACAAAAGAGAACCAGACGUUCAAUUACCAAGGAACUUUCAACAUUUAAAAUACAUUUAAAAUAGACUUAUUGAAGUUUAAUAUCUCAAAAUUUUAGCUCAUGUUGACACCAAUAGAUUAUUCGUUUAUAACACCAAACAUGGUACAUACACAGUUUUUGAUAAAUUCCAACAGCAACUGACCAAUUUGACAAAUCCAUUAAAAAUCAACUAUUAGUUCAAUUCAUUCCAAAAUGUCCAGACUUGAAAUAUACAAUCCGGCUUUUAUUACUCAAAAUUUGAAGCGAAUCUAGCAUCAUUUAGUCAUAUUUUGAAACAAUCAAAGUUAUGAUAACAGUCCAACAAUCUUUAAAUUUUCUGCAAAAUCAAUAAACUAUUUAUUAUCUUUUCAGUUCAAUAAUCAAUUUUCUAGCAAAAUUAGACAUGCAAAACCAACAACAACCUUACUUUUCAGUUUUGAGAUAACAAAACAUCAAUUGCGCCAAGUUACCUACCUAAAUCACAAGCUUUAACUUCCUGGCCUCUUAAUAAAGCUUUCUGUCACCUUCGCAAGUAUUAACUUCAGUCCUCACAUUACCAAAAAGCCUACCCAAAAUAAAUAAAAAAAAAUGAUAAUCAAUCACACUUCCAUUAAACAAAGUCAUAAGAGCUUAUUUAAAAAUUGAGGCGUUUCACCUCUUAACGAAUAGCUCAACUCCAAACUUCCAAUCUAUAGCACUACAUAAUUGAAACAUACCACCACCGAUCAACAAAUAACCCAAAAAAUUGCUAAGACUUUCAAUUAAAAAUAAAAGCUGGUGAUUAUAUAGCAUCAAUAUAUAGAAUUAAAUCAUCAAGCAACAGUAUAUGAUGGUGAGUCUCUAGAAACAUCAAUAAAAAUUUCUAAAAAACGGCAAAAAACAGCUUAAAAAUGAUAUAAUGAAUAUCAACACAUAUAAAAUAAGAUUGGUCAAAAAAAUAAAAAUAAAAGAAAAAAAGCUGAAUAGGUAAAUCUUUACCAAAUUAGUGAGCACCCAUCUUUAGGAUUCCGAACAAUGAUUGCAGAUCUCAAAACAAGCAAACAACACCAAAAACCAAACAAGAAAAAAAAUAGUAUAUCAAGAGAAAAAAAUUAACUUGUUUUGAGGGUUUUCGCUGGUGGCUUCAGGAAGCCCACGCGGCCACGAUUUCGGCCAAAGCUAGGAUGACGGCAGUGAAGGUUGAAGAACUGAUGGUAUAGUCAAUGGUGCGACAGAAAUAAUGGUGGGCGGUUGGAAACGCAGCAACAGACGUGAUACCAACUUUGCCUCUCCCUAGCUCUCGUAUACAAACCAAAUACUAGGGUAGAUGACUCCGAUUGGUUGAUUAGUGUGAGAGAGAAAAUGGAUUUGAUUUUAGGUAAUGAGCAAAGAAAUCAGAU
rnacentral:lncRNA from 1 species